rnacentral:lncRNA from 1 species
UCCUGCAGAAUUUUUUCUUGUUGUCAAGGAUGCAUGUAUAGCAUGUAAUUAGGUUCUGAAAAUUCAAUCUUUAAUGAUUGUAGCUGGUUCAUUACUUUUUAAAAUGCUAAUUUCCUUUCAAGCGACUUACUCAACUCUUAAUGAAGUGUUCACAUGUUAACACGUUUCAAGUAGUUGGAAAUUUAUCAAGAGCAAGACUCUAGUUACUUCAAGAAUAGCCAGAAAUCUAAGUCCAAAUCAGAAAAAGCAGUAAAGUUUGAAUGUUGAAAGAGUCACAGAUCAUCCUAAUAGAGGGACAAAUGAACUAGGAAGACUUGUGUUGAAGAAAGGUUAUAAGUGGUGUUCUUCCGGGAGGCUAGCCAGAAAUCUAAGUCCAAAUCAGAAAAAGCAGCAAAGUUUGAAUGUUGAAAGAGUCGCAGAUCAUCCUAAUAGAGGGACAAAUGAACUAGGAAGACUUGUGUUGAAGAAAGGUUACACGUGGUGUUAUUCCGGGAGGCUACGAUCUGUUUCUAGUAACCGCAGAAGUCAUUCUGAAUCAACUCGAAAAUUUUACAGUUGAGUUGCACGCAUGUUCGCUGAUUUCUAUAUGGUUGCACUCUGCAAAUAUUCAUUUCACAUUCCAUUUGACUGAGGAAGUGCGCACUAAGUGAACUAUGUACAAGUUUUUUCCAACAUAAAUAAAAUACAAAAGCACUUGGGCCUGGGGCUUUUCUUCAUUUAACUAACUGCAUUUCAUAUUACUUAUUUCCAUAUUCUAGGAAGUAGGAACUUGUUUAUCUGCUUACCCGGAAGGAUGAUGACAGACUCCUCUUUGGCCAGCUUAAAACAGAAGUCCAUGUCGUCACUAAUGUCUUUCAGUAAGGACAGAUUAAGUUUCACCUACAUUGUGCAAGGAAAUAAAAUCAACUGAAAAAGAUGCAAAUUUCUAUUGCCUAGGUUGCAGGCUUUACAAAUUUGUUAAUCACUUACCAUUAGAGCCAUUGAUCCUUCAGCGUUAGAAGGGCAACUAAUGAAGGGUAUCUCCUUUAUCUUUUUGUAACAAAUUUCUGCACUCUGCUUGAGCAUAUUAAUGGUCUUGCCAAAAAAAGCCUCCUUAGUUUGCUCAAUAAUGAGAGGAACUGCUGCCUAAUAUUUUAAAUUUUUAGUUAGAAGUGAGUAAGCUAAAACCACUGGUGACAUUUAAAGUAAAUCCAUGAAGGAGUAUGUUCAAAUCCCUGACAAUUAUACAAUUUAAUGAUCAAAAGGCAACUAAGUUGAUGAUUGCAAAUUUGACCGGAAAAUCACACGAUGGCUUGAUGCCCAGAGAUAUGGAUGCUUAACAACUCCUAAACAAAGGAAGAAGUUAUCUUUGUUGUAUCAUGUAUGGUAGCAACAUGAACACUUAAAUCCGAGAAAGGACUUCCAGUGCCUCAAACCAUAUCUGGAGAGUGAUAACUAAUGCUAAUAAUUUGAAUAUCAUUAAGGUGUGAAAAUUGGCAAUCAUACUCUGAAUAUGCCAUUGACUGAAAUGGGACUGACUCUCUUUGUGUAAUAAAACAGGCAAACAGAGAGCUCAAACAAGGACAAGCUAAAUAGCCACAUUCAUGAAUACCAAUGGCAAAAUUUGAAGAGAUUUACAAGUCUGAGAUGUUGCAUUGAGGAGCCUCUAGGUUUUGAAAGAUGUACUCCACAAUCACAUACUAUUAUGCAGAAGAGGGUCACAUAGACUUGACAGAAACUUUCGUUCAGAUGAGUUUGCACUGAUGUCUAUACUGCUUUUAUUGUAAGCAUUCAUUUCUUAUUGCUUUGGCCAGUCUGUUGAUAAAACCACACACUUGAUUCAAACUAAAUGCCGAAGUAAACCUAUAAGAAAAGAGUUUGUAACAUGGCAAAGGAAUAGAAACAUACUCCACUUGCAAUUCUGAUCUAAGAUGGAAUUAAGAAGUCUCAAAAGAAAACCUGUGUAGUUUUUUAACAUGGCCCUGAUUUAAGAGAAGAUUAAGAAGUCUUUAAGUUCAAACCUGUAUAAAAGUUGCUGGACCUCCACAAAUAUCACAGUACUUCUUGAUACGCUCUACAAACUGAUAAUAUCAAAGAAAAUCAAUUCAGAAAUAGUCAGAACCUGGGACUAAUCCCAUGGAGCAAAUGACAGUAAAUAUGAUAUCACUAUUUAUAUCCUUCACCCUUUGACCUUUGAUUCUGACUUCAAAAUAAAGAUGGCAAGAACACACACAAAGGGUAAAACAAUGCACAGAUGAAAAGCUAAUCUGUGUCUUUCCAAAUAAGAAAACCAUCUACCCAACUAACAUGCAGUGCAAAUGAAUGUGCAGCCAUUGAUUUUAGGAAAACAUACUUUGCUGUAGCAGAAGUUAAUCCUGUAGAUAGAACAGUACUGAAGGAUAAUUGCAAAUAAAAACUCAAAAAAGGAUGGAAAAGACCUUAGGGUUUUUGUAUACGCCAUUAGGAUCAUUUGUUACAAGCCAACCAAGGCGCCAACCAGGCACUAACCAUCUCUUUGACAGAGAUCCAAGCGUGAAAACUGGAGCCACUGAUCCAAAAACUCCCAUUGGCACAAAUGGUUUAUCCCCAAAAGCUAGGUGCCCGUAAACUUCAUCGGCAAUUACGGCAAUACCUAGCUGUUUGGCAGUUUCUGCAAUCUAACAGCAGAUACUAUUAUCACGGAGCUAAAUGUAAUCAGAAACAUUCAAACAAGCCUGUGAUAUAGCAGAGGGAAAAGACUUAUACUAACCUUCUCUAGAUGCUGACGUGUGUAGACAUUGCCACAAGGAUUUCCCGGGUUAAUAAUUACCACUGCAAUGGUUUUAUGAUCUGCAAGAGCUUCAACAGCAUUGAGAUUGACCUCCCAGCCAUUGUCAGGUAGCAGGUCAUAGUAACGAAUCUCAAGAUUUCUGAAAGUGGCGCACAAUCCGUAAAUUGGGAAACCUGGUCUUGGUAGUAAAACGUUAGCGCCCGGGCGAGCCAAAAUGGAUAACACCAUUUCUAUAGCUUGUGUACAUCCAGCCGUAACAUAAACAUCAUCAGAUGAUAACUCGUACGGAAGAUCAGACGACAAAUAUUUUGCAAUUGCCCUGUUUAGGAGAACAGGCAUGGUAGAAUUAGAGAUGACAACAUAGACGGUUGCAAAAUACAAAACUAUACUUUUAAAAAUUAAGUAUAAUAGUUGUAAAUAACUAAUCACCAAGGAUGAAUCACGGUCGAAUUUUUGUACAGAAUUAAUUUUGGUGUUUCACGAAAUCUAUUCAGUAUCAAAUCUGACUCAUUAGGAUUAGCAUCUGUGCAGGUAGAUUAGUUGCAACCAUAACACUCCCCUUGUCAUAGUUCACUAUAAUACUGAUGUGGAUUAGCCAGUAUGGAAUUGAGUUUACCACUUCAUAAGAAUGUAAUUACAUAAUUUGCUUAUUUUGCAGGUAAAAAAUGCAGAAUGCGCACUAUGAAUGUCGUCAUACAAACUAGAACUACUCAAACAAACCUGUGGCCGGUAAUAUAACUGGUCCUGUUUGGCUGUUUCUGUCAUCAGGUUGCCUGAUAACUCCAGUGUCAAUACUCUCAGAAUAGUGAGAGCUAAACGAAAUUUUUCAGGAAGAACUUAUCACAUGACAAAUAAAUUAAGAAAACAUGCGAAAUUGAUUUUUUUUUUAAUCCAAAAUUCAAUAUCUCGAUUAAUUUAACAUGCAGCUGCUACGAUAAAAGGAUUCAAAUUCCAGAAGAGAGUGUUCGGGGGAAAAAUAGAACAUUCCAAUUCAAGUCACAACUUUAACUGAACCGAACAGUAAUCUCAAGAACAAUUUUGAUAAUCAAAGGACCCUGUUUGUCGGGAAAAAAACAAAGCCAAAAUUUUAAAACCCAGAUAAAACAGAGCUCAAAUUACUGCACUCCAAUUAAUUCUGACUCCAAAAGCUAGCCAAGAAAAUUGGGACUGCAACCUGAAAAACCCAGCAAUCUAGACACCAAAAAUUUUGAUAAAAAGAAAGCUUCAUGCAUAAAUUGACUGAAAGAAGAAAGCACCUACUUUCUGGUCUGGGGUAGUCCAACAGUGGGAGAAUAUCCAUUGAACUUGUAGGAACGAAGGGUGUCAACCACAGCGUCUUGAGCAGCAGCAGUGGUCCGGAAGCAAGAAUAAGCGGUGGGGUCCCCAAUGCCCAAAGAAAUCACUCUUUUCUUGUCAUCACCAUUGGUAUUAGCCAUCAACAAGCUAAGAGUGCCUUUAAUAGUGAUAUUUGCCGGUGCUUCAAUUCCUUGGCCACUAUCAAGAUUUUGAUACACCCCGUUUUCCAUGCUUCCACGCUCUGCUUUUGUUUUUUCAAGAAUUAUGAUGGUUUUCUAAUAUUUCGGAGUUUGUUUAAAGUUUAAAUGGAAGAUAGAAGAAACGUAAGAGAUAGGCACAGGUCGAAGUCUUCUAAGACCACACACACUCACACAAUUCUGACAAGCGUAUCUGUGCAUGGCUGACGAGCGAUGUCAAGCAAGUAAGGCUCGCCAUCGUGAAGACAAAUUUCCUCGUCUUCAUGAACCACAAAUUUUCCAGGAAGGAGAAAAACUACUUAAAAACCAGCUCUUUUUUUUUUUUUUUCUUCUUUCUUUUAUUAUUUUUUUUUUUUUUGGGCCCCAGCGAUCAAUAUUAUUUUAACGUACUUGUAUUUGCAAAUUACUUGUGAGGGCAGGUUAUAAAAAUAUCUAACUUAUAGAGAUAAGGUGAUAGGAUAAUAUUACUCCCUCCGUCCCGUUUUGUUAGUUUUGAUUUUUUUUUUCACACAGAUUAAGAAAGUGUAAUUAAUUUGGUUGGAAACAUAAAUUUAGAUUAAUAAUUUCCUAAAAUACCCUUAUGCUAAUUACGAAGAGUGCCAAUUAAUAUCAGUUACAGCUAAUGGAUUAGUAUUGGAAAAACUCAAUGUAUUCAAUGUAGUGGGUUAGUAUUUAAUAACAAUGUAUUAAUAACAAGAUAUUUAAUAAGGGUAUUUUAGACAAUUUGAAAGAUUAUUAUAUUUCUUAGUGGGAAAGUGGACUAUAAUUUGGGACAGAUGAAAAAGGAAAAUAAGACUAUUAAAGUGGAACGGAGGAGUAAUAUUUUUAACAAUAAGAGUGAUUUGGCACUUUCAUGUCCGUGAAAGUUGUGACAUUGAGAGUUACAAUCAUCAAUGUUUUCAAACACUUUUAUGAAUUUUCAAACGAUACAAAAUUCAAAUAAUAGGGGUUUUCUUAUAAAUUUAUAACUUUUAGAAUUAGUGAUGUUACUAGAGUCAUUUUAAUUUUGUCCUUUAGGUCAACCGGUGCUCCUAGAGUACGAGAGAAAUGAAGUUUCAAUUCAUACGAACUUUUAGAAACGUGUUAAUCAAAUAUGUGAAAAUCUAUUUAUCGUUUUCUCCGCACAAUCAAAAUCAGAUUCUUGAGUCUUGAAUGCCGUGUACCUACGCCCCACAACUUUUGUCUAACUUUUCAAACUUGCGACAUGCAAGAGGAUGGCGACGUCUUAUGAGCCAAAUGAGGCGAUGUUGUUGAAAAGUUCAUGUGACUGUGCAUAUGGCACGAUGCAAAAAUUAGCGGUCAGCAAAAUUAUUAUUUGGUAAUUCGAAAAUUCAGCGUAUCCGAUUCGAAAAUUAUAAUACUUGUUUGUAUUAUUUGAUCGGGGAUAAAAAAAGUGUCAUAUCUUCUUAAAUGCGGAACGGAUUAGGAUCACAUAUUUAAAAAUUUACGGGUACCCGACUCGUCCUACUUAUAUAUAUUUUCUAUUUUUUAUUUUUAUACAUAUAUAUUAUAAAAUAAUAUUUUUAGAACUAAAUAAAAUUUAUUGAAUAAAUUGCAUUACAAAUAUAAGAUAUUCUAUUAUUUGUAAGAUUUAUUUGUAGAAGUUAUGUUCUAUAUUAUCUAAAAAAGACUUUAAUUAAUGUGGACCAUAUAUUUUAAAAAAUGUGCUUCUUAUUUCAAACUUUUAUUCAUUUUGAAUUAUUUUAAUUUAUUUCCUUUUUCUUGUAUGAUCUUCGCAUGCUUGUUUCUUGGUGAAAGGCUUUUUUGAGAAAAUUUUUUUACUAAAUCUUAGAUGAAUGUGUAAAGUAUAAAAUUAAAUUAGUAUGAUUCAUUUUUUUGAAAAAAAAAAUUAAAUGAUAAGUGGGACGGGGACAGACACCCAUUGAUUGGAUCCUAUCUCAACAGGUACUUUGUAACUAGGUACCCGCUAAUAUGCAAAGUGGAUAAGAACCAGGAAACGACUAACUUGCAAGGUGCACCAGAUAGAAUCAGCCAAAUAAUGAAUAAAACGGCCACCUAAAUUACGGCCACCCCUAGUAAAAAUAUAACAAAUAUAGAGAAUGGCCCCCAAACAGGACUGUCAGUGCAAGUGUGCCAACUCUAGCCUGACCCAUUUGAUCAAAAACAGUGCACUAGACUUGAGCUUUAUUUAGACGUGGCAGAGUUUGGACUCGAAUUAGAUAUGAACCGAAUUUGGAUUAUAGUAUGUUCAAAUCCUAUUAAGACUCGACCUAUAAAAUACAUAAACUAAUAUUUAUAAUUCAUAAUUAUGUUAAUAAUUUAUGAAUUAAUCUUAUAUAUACUGUCAGUGUAUACAUUAUCACCAUUAGAUAUAUAACACAGGUGUAAAAUUUAUAUUUAAAAUUCAAAAUUUGCUCGUGUGUAUAUGCAGUGACCGCGUAUAUAAAAUUUAUUCAUAAUUUAUAUAUAAAUUUAUAAUAAUUCAUAAUUAUAAAAUAUAUAUUAAAUGAGCUUGGAUCAAGUCAGAGUUGAAUUUGAGCUCGAAGUAUGAAAGUCCAAAACUCAAAAAUCCGCAUACGCAUAAUUUAUAAGCAGAGGCUGAUCUUACCAAAAUUGAAGUUCAGAAACUCCAAAUUGACACUCCUAACCCCCAAGUACUAGUACUAGAAAGUCAAAGCUAGAGUCAUCCACGGAAGUCGGAAGAGAAGGGUAGAAGGGAAGAGAAAAAGUCUGGCUCGCAUAAGCUGACGCUGGAAAGACAUAUCCAUGUAAAAGUUCAAAGAUUUAUUUCCAGUCUUGUAAAUCUCAUAGUCUCGUGUAAAAGUUUCGGAAAAAUUAUGCACGAUCACAUAUGAUCGAUCUGUAGGAAUCCAAAUGUGACCUUUUGCUUUCAGAAUCUCAAUUUUGAUUCUUCCAAAUACCAGUAAAAAUAACAAGUCUACAGCAAGAAUCCCAAGAAGAUUGCAUGUAAUGAUUAAUAUAUCCAAACAAGAAUCCCAGAAGAAUGAAUCAUACCGGCAAUUCGUAAAUGCUUGAAGAGAAUCAGAGGUGCUGGGAAUGACGUUCUUGCAACUUGAUGAUUCUCCGCCUGGGAUAAAACUGGUGCUAAACUGCUAACUGCCUCCAGCCACUAUGCUUUCUGGCGUUUUGGCGCAGCAACUGAUCUUCUUUUGUAUAGGCGAAGUUUGACAGCUGGGUACGGGAGACUAGGGAGCUGGGUUGGGUUGGGUUGGGAGCCUAUAAGCACUGGAGACUGGAGAAAAUAUAGGAAGAUUGCCUCGCGGCUUGUUAGUAUUAAUAACCUGUGGAAAAUUGAUUUUUAAGAAACAAAAUCAAAACGGUUCAUCUCCUGUGUGAGUCAGCAUUUUGUGUUUCCAUAUAUCUUUUCGGGAUGAGAUCAAAAGGAAAGAAGGUCUCAUUUGGACUUCUCUAUCUACUACUCAGAUUUUGAUGGUUGGGACGUUUCGCCCUGUUGGCAAUCCAAUCCCAAACACCCUUUGAGUCUCGUGCUCUUUUGCUUUUUUUGUUUCUUUGUGUUUUUCGAUUCUCAUUUAUUUUGAUCUCUGUCCCACCACCGGCAAUCCUGUGAAUUUAAUAACUUGAGUAGUAAUUUUUUUUUUUUGCAGAUUCUGAAGCUCUUCUUUUUGCACAGUAAUAACAAAUUGCCUUCUCUCAAACAAGACACUGCACAGAGCACCUGCUGAAAAAUUAGCACAGUGAGGAGGAGUUUUCUCUCAUGAAUUAGCCACAUAAAUCUCAUCCUUAAUGCUUAGAAAACACGAGGAUUAUGAAUGUCAGCUAUUAGAUUUUUCUUUUUUUUUUUCCAAGAAAAAUUCAUAACUCUGUUUGGAUAGUGGAUUAUUUGUCAAAAUUUAUUUGGUCACAUCAUCAUUACAAUUUUCAACACACAUUUUUAUCUUUCCAAUUAUCUUUUUAUCUCACAUACAUUACAUCACAAAAAGUGCUACAGUAAAAAUAUCUCAAAUAAUUUACAAUCCAAACAGAGCACUAAGUUCAGUAAAAUCUGAUUGUUAACUAAGUUCACAAUGAAAAAUUGAAAAUUCAUAUAUCACCCAUCACACGGGCCCAAAAAUCUCCAAACCCAUGAAAUUUUAGGAGGAAAACUUUCGAUAUCAAUAGAAAUUAGGAGAAUUGGGCAAGGAUAAUUAUUUUUAUCGUACAAUAGUGCAGAUUUAUAGUUGCAAAAAUAUGAGAAGGAAACCAUUAAAUAUUGAGGGCCUUCCAAUUCUUGUCACGGCCAGUACAUUAUGCUUCUAUUCUAUGGUCUUGGGAGUAGUAAUUACAUGCAUUGCCCCCAGGAUAAGAAACCCGGGAACAAGUGGCAGUCCCUCCUGAUUUAUUUCGGUUGUGUUUGGAUUGUAUUUUUCGUCAUUUUUCAUAAAAAAAUUACUGUAGCGAUUUGAUAUAUGUGAGGGAAAAAUGUGAUAGGAAAAUGUGAUCACGAAAAAUGACAAUAUUUUUCGACGGAAACAAGCAAUCCAAGCAAGGCAUUCGUUUUUCUGUUCUUGGGCGUGGACUUGGGGCGAUGGUGAAAUGUGAGUUAUGUUAGCGGCGUACAAGAAUGGUGGAGCUGUCAAAAGAAAAUGAAAGGAGAAUGGUGAUUCAUCACGGCAGGCAAGCCUCAGAAACCUUUCCUGGUUGGUUCAUGAAUCAAACAAGAAGUAUAUUUUGAUGGCUACUAAAAUACAGCGAAUUCAACCAAGCGAUAAGGAUACAGGAGAAAUUCCACCAACCCCGCAUCACAUAAGUAAGUGUUUUCUAAAAAUGGAGCCUUGACAUGCAUGCUUUUAUUUUCUUCUAAUCUUAUAUAAAAAAAUUUUUUUUUUUAUGGCUCAAAAAACAUGUGCGAUGUUUGGACUGCAAUUUUUCAUCAAUAAACUUUUACUAUUUUUUUGUGAAUAUAUUUGCUUUUAUUUUCUUCUGCCAGUUUUUUUUUUUUUUUUUCUGGACAUUAUUGAAAUUUCCAUGGCAUCCUUCUUCUCGAGCAUGACUAUCUCGUCUACUCGUAGUUGGACCCAAUAUAUUGAGAGCUGCAAAUCCAACAGAUAUUUCAAUUUCCUUUAGCAGCGACUGCGAGGCCAUCCAUCUUCCCUGAUUGGUCAUCAGCCCACGUUGGAACUGGACAAGAUGGACGAACCAGAACGAAUUAGUUUAAAGUCUCCGGACAUAGAUUGGAACAUUAGUCAAGUGACGGUAAUCCAGGUUUUAGUGAACUAAUGAUCUUGAUUCUACUUUAAAGAAUCUCUCUUGAGCAAAAGACAUUUACAAAAAAAAAAAAAAAAAGGUUUUAAUUCUAAUUUAGGAAUCAAUUUUGGUUUGAAGAUGAGUGAGAGGCUAUGGAACUGCAAAGAAUCCAACCGCCUUAAAUCUUUAAGACCCCCACAACAACUGAAUUCAUUCAUCGCAUUUGAUUCUGGAUUUCCUGGACCAAUAAAUAGUCUCAUCAUGUUCUUUGUACAGUACAUUUCGUUUUCUGCUACGAUGACGACGGUGGACGGUGGUGGGUGUGUCUGAAGUACAAAAGGCACAAAUGUGCGCCUUUAAUUCAUUUUGCUUACAUGAGCCCACUACAAGGGUAAAUUUUUAGAUUGAGAUUUUGGAACAUUUCACAGUAACAAUAAUAAUAAAACCUUUUGGGUCAUACAAUUUAUCCUCUACAUUUUCCCCUACACCCAAAAAUUGCCAUUUUGAAUCUAUUAAUCAAAGUAUAGCGCAAUCACUAAUCUAAAAACAUCAAAUUCCUACUUCCUAAUCUAAAAACCAGUUUUUUUUUUUCAGUUGAAUCAAGCGUUAUGUCUCCUCUAAAUUGGGGGAAAAAAAAAAAAGAUCAAAAGUGUUAUCCUCUUACGAACUAACUUCGUUAUUUGAGAAUGUUGUCUGCAGCUUUUGCUAGAGAGAAGCUUAAGUGACCACAUUUUGGCACGCCGGUGGGAGUUCAAAAAGUCUUUUUUUUUUUUUUUUUUCAGUUGGAGGUGUCCGAGCCUAGACCCCGACUAGAGGAGAGCGGGCCCAUCAAUCCUCAAGAAAUUACGCCGGAUUGCUGAGUUCGGAAUCGAAUCCAGGCCGUCUCAUCCUAAUAAGGGCUACACGACCACCCGAGCAACCUAUCGGGGCAGGAGUCCAAAAAGUUUGGAUUUUGAAUUUUUUAGCAUAGCUUGUUCACAUACCAAAAAUGUCAAAUUCUGGAACCGACUCCUAACGGUAGCUUUAUUUCGGGCUGGAAACAGUGGAAUCUAUGCAAGGAUUGAUAACAAUUCUUAGCCAACGUCAUGGCAAAGACUUUUUUUGUUUUCCCCUUUUUAAAUGUCACCGGCAGAAGGGGAAAAGGAAAAGUUUAGCAUCAUUAUCAACUUCUUUAGGUACGGAAGAUCGUUAGGAUUAAAAAGCAAACUAAGUUACUUGAUACUCGAAUUGAAUUUAAUUCAAUAAGAGUUUGUUUUAAAUUUGGUCCGUUAAUCAAUCAAACAAAGGUAAAAUAUCAUUUCGUGUUCAAUAAAUUUUCAAAUUAGACUUAAACCCGACUUGAAUGGUAUAAAAUUGAAAUUUGUAAAACAAAAACUGAAGGUACUUGAGUUCAACUCGAGUUUCAUUCAAUAAAAAAUGCUAAUUUGAAUUCAAUUCGACAGUUCAAUUUCAAAAUUGACAAAAUAAUGAAAUGGAUUUAAAUAUUAGAAUAUUCAAUUUAAUUAAACUUAUUUAUAGCUGUAGAGAGAUUGAUGAUAAGGACAUGAUGCUCAUGCCAGAGGCACUCGACUCUCAAUUCUCCUCUUCUCUUCUCUUCUCUGUCAAUUAAAAGCGCGAUUGGGUGCACCGGUGUCCUACCCUUGGGACGAUGUGAAUCUCUACGCCAAAACAACUUUUUUUUUUUUUUUUAAAAAAAAGAAAGAAAAGAAAUUUUUGUACAGCACAAGUGCAAACACAAGUCCUUAGCUGACACUUGCACAUCUUUAAACGGUUCGUUGUAGGGAAAGCCUGCAUCCUAUUGAGUUCUUAGACGAGCUAUUUUUGGCGUAUUGGCACGUCCUCGUGACCAAACAUGCAACAACCCAGACAACCAUAGGAUACACCGGAUAAAAUUCGGCAUGAAAAUCGAACGGCUCAAAUCGUCCAGAGGGUGCUGCCAAUGAUCAACGAUUUUUUUGGGGAGGGUGGGGGAGCAUUUAAUGCUUCUCUCCCCGGCGGAACCCGAACGGGGUUAUCCAAGUGCUCACGCUAAGGCAAAAUAAUAGUGGGGCCAGGUGCUAUAAAGCGCCGUAGGGUGGAGGGCGGCGGCUGACUUCAGAUUGUCGUCAUCUGCGAUCCACACGGUGAUACCUGUUCUCUUCUCUGAGAGUCUGAAAUUCUGAAUAUAUAUAAAUUGAAUAAUUGAGACCACUCCUUCAUUUAUUGACGAUACGCCCAAAAUACCAAAAACUAAAAUAUAAAUAAUUCUACCAACUCUGCAUUCCUAGUGAACUUUUAUAUAUACUACUUUUUUUUUUUCUUUUUUACUAUGACUUCAAAAGUCAACUGCUACCUAUUCAGGCCAGAACAACUAGAAAAGGACACAGAAAUAAUAAUGCCAACUCGGAAUAAAAAAACAGUAGUGUGGGAAUGAAAAACAGCAAAAAGCUUCAGGUGCAGUUUUUCAUUUGUCAAACCGGCCGGUUUGCUAACCUUAUAACAUGCCGCGGGGCAAGAAGAAUUUCUAGCAGUAAUAGGCGAUGGAUUUGAUGCAAAUUUUGAAUGCUGCUACGAUACAUAAACAAGGUUCCAAUGUAGUAGUGCUAGGGUUUCUUGAGUAUUGCUGCCUUCGAUUAUGUUAACCAUCAACCAUCCAAGUUUGGAUCAUCUUUUUUCUUUUUUCAGGCUGCAACACUAGACGCACGUACGCAUGGGGAUGGCUUUUGAGCAGCAGCCUUAAAGCUGGGAAACAACAAAAUUGGCAGGCCAUUAUUAGAAUUUUCAUGAAAAAGAGAACAUUAAUUAUUGCUUGUCAAUUUUAUCAUUAACUUUGUAGUAGCAGUACUUUUCACAUCCCACGUACUUGUUUUUAAGUACGCCAUGAACAGAACCCUACCAUGACCUCCUUGGCACUCCAUUAUUACUAUCAUCAUGGUACUAUUUUCAUGGGCAGUUGUGUCUCUGUCGACACAAGAAAUUAAACCAACAAAAACCCGGAUUGUUGAAUGUGGAAAAGAAGUGCGAGAAAUGAGAGCGGCUGAGCCGGACGAAUAAUUAAACCGGAUUGCAAUUAGUGGUAGGAGAAGGAAAUGAGAAAACUUCUAGGAUCGCUGGAAAAUGCCAACAAGUGUGCGAGGGCCCUGAAAUAGUAGAAGCCGGAAAAUGCCAAGAAGUUUGCGAGGAACCCGAAAUAGUAGAAGAUCAAGGGAGAUUUUUUCGCCUUUUAUGGUAACUCCUGUAUGGCUUGAGCUUUGACAAGCUGAAAGGAUGGACGGAAUUAAUGAGAGAGAGAGAUAAAGUAAAAGAGGGCAAUCUUUUCUUUCUUUCUUUCUUUCCUUUACUUCAUCCGUCCAUCGGGGUCGGGGGGCUUACUUAAUACCGGAUGCCGCUCACCAGCAUGCAGAUUGAUGAGAGAUGAUGAUUUGAUGUAAAGCCUGGCAAGAGUUAGUAGGGAGCCUAUGUAGAUAUAUCUUUGCAUCUCAAAAUCCGAGCAUGACGCGUCAAAAUCUUAGAAGAGCAUCAAUCUCCCUUCUGCUGAUUGUGAUGGAUGGAUGGAUGGAAUGGAAGGAGACGUGUUUCUCUGUGUGUGUGUGUGUGUGGUGUGUGCAUUUUUUUAGAUCGAUGGAUGGGAUUGAUGAAGAGAUACAUGCAUGGCCUGAAAAAUCAAAAAUAUUGAAAUCAUUUCCUCUGUUGAAUCUAAUUUUAAGUCACCCCAUGUCACUUCUCCAAUUCCAACUACUCUGGUUCCCUUUUUUUUUUUUUUUUGUUGUUUAAAGAGGGGGGGGGGGGGAGGUCGUGCGGGAGUCCUAGCAUGGGAUUUCAACUGAAAAAAACAAAAAGAGGACCUCAUAAUAGAAAAUUUUUUGGGACAUAAGCCACGUUUGUUUUCAUACCCUAUAAGACCUAAUUAGAGUUUUGCGUGUUGUAGAACUCAAAAGAAGGGUCUAAUUUCGUACGGUUGUUACAAAUUGCCUGUUCAAAACAUGCAAAACCAUUUAUCUUCAUGUUAGUACGUGAGUUCUAUUACAGCAUGCAUAGUGUUACAACACGAGCAGCACCAUAAAAAUUGCAAUCGUCUAAGAUCAUCUGAUCAUAUCUUUUAGGAGUUGAAACUUGAAAUGUCGACACCUAACUUUAACUGCUAUUAUCAGCUUUUCUCCUGCUAUCCAUUCCUACCGUUUUCUCCCCGUUUAUCAGAAUCAAAUUUCUUGUCUCCAUCCAUCGGUAGUGUGUGCUGAGUGCAACUGGGACUGAACAUAACUGCUGCAGUUAAUAAUAGAAAUAAAUCAGGUUUGGUUGUUGAUGAGACAGAAGUAUUGGUUGCUAAAAGAUUUUGUUUCAGGAUUUGAAGGUAAUUGUUUAAGUUUGAGGAAUCCAUCAUGUUGCUGGUCAGCUGAUCACUCGAAUGAAUAUAUCUUUAAGUUCUACCAGGGAUGAAAGCUACCUAAGAUACCUCAACUGUUGUCUCAGUCGACAGUGAACAGUCUCUACUAUUCAUCAAAUAGUAACUCACACGAAUAAUAGAUUACAGCAUGAUAAAAGCUUGUUAUAUGAUUCAGGUGCUGCUCCAGAACGUCAAGCCUAUUAGACUAAAGUUUCAAACAUGUACUCAUGUUUUUGAUAAGAUAUGAAGACCAUUAAUCUUAUGAAACAAAAUAUUUAUUCUCUAAAAGAUGCUAAAAUCAACAAUAAUAUCGUUUUGUUUACUUAUUUAGGGGAUGUGUGUUCCAUAAAUAGGCCUUGAAACAUGCCUAAUUUCUAACGCAUCAUCCCAGUAUUGUACAAAUUCAAAGCCAGUGCAUGACGAAGUAUGGGCCUAUAAAUGUAGAGGCUGCAUGCAUCUUUGUUCUGGCUUUGGCAAUUUAGCUUUAAAUUUUUGGGCAACAAGUGUACAAUAAAUAAUGUCGUAGAAACUUUAGAAACAGUAGUAAAAUCGGCAAAAAUUAUGAGCAAACAUGCCAAAAGUUUCUACAACAAAAGCAUGUGAUGACGAGUAAAUCGCUUGGGUAACUGAUGAGGAGAUAGGAGAUGGAAAAAGAAACCUUAGGACAGAAAAGAAAAACAAAGAAGAGAGGGAAGGGCAAGUGCACGUAUUUACCUUGUCUCUUUCCAUCCGAUUUAUUUAAUCUUGUACUGUGCUGACAGAUGAGAUAUGGAACAGCUUUAUCGAUCCAUGGUGAAAUCUCUCUCCCCUCCAUCAUCUCUCUCUCCCUCGCCCAUCUCUCUCAUUUUUUUUCUCCCAAAAGAGAGCCUCUCUCUUUAAAACUACUUCCUGUUCCCUCCCUUUCAUUUUCUUCACUGACAAGGGAAUACCUGCACACUUCCUCACGCACGCACGCAUACUCAAAACAGAACCAUUGCAGUGCAGUGCCCGGUGCCCACUCCUUCAGAUAACAUACAUCACCCUCCCCUAUUCUCCCCCCUCAUCCCUCUCUAUUUCCUACUACUAUCUUUCCAUCUCUCUCUAGCUAUUUGUAUUUGUAUUUGGUGAGUGAGUGAGAGCGUCGCAGUAGUAGACUGCAGAGUAAUCAGAGAAAAAAGCAGAACAGGACAGCCCAGAAGCAUCCCCCGCCUCACCCAGCAUUUUUCCAGCCAUAUCAUACCUUAUUAUUUCUUUCACCUUUUUCUCCUGUCACUGGAUUCAUCAAACCCCAUGAACUCCCCCUUAUAAUACUCCCAUUCGGUUCCCUAGCGAGCACCUCAAUACGGCACCAUGCAUUCUCUCCAAUUCACAAUGUGCUGUAUCCUUUUCUAAGAGAAAUUAUAGUCUUCUGCAUCCCCUUGUUUUCUUGAUCAAAACCCUGAAAUUUCAUCUAGAGGUACACACUUCUUGUAGUCCAUUAGUGUUUUAGCUACUAGUGUUGGGCUCAAUGGCAAACUACCACUACUAUGAAAGCAGUGAUGCACAUUUGCCUCCGGGGUUCAGAUUUCAUCCAACGGAUGAAGAGCUCAUAACUUACUACCUUCUGAAAAAGGUUCUUGACAGCAAUUUCACUGGAAAAGCCAUUGCUGAAGUUGAUCUCAACAAGUGCGAGCCCUGGGAGCUUCCUGGUACUUUAAAAUUUUCGAAGAUCAAACUUACCCUAUUAUUUGUCCGAUAUGAGCUUGUGAAUUUGGCCUUGUCUAAACUUCAAUGUUUUGUGCAGAGAAAGCCAAGAUGGGGGAGAAAGAAUGGUACUUUUUCAGCUUGAGGGAUAGGAAGUACCCGACAGGAUUGAGGACUAACAGGGCAACAGAAGCUGGUUACUGGAAGGCUACAGGAAAAGACAGGGAAAUAUACAGCUCCAAGACUUGCUCCCUUGUUGGCAUGAAGAAAACCCUGGUUUUCUACCGUGGCAGGGCUCCAAAAGGAGAGAAGAGCAACUGGGUAAUGCAUGAAUAUCGGCUUGAAGGCAAAUUUGCCUACCAUUACCUCUCUAGAAGUUCCAAGGUAAGCAAAAUUGCAAAGAUCGCCCCUUUUUGCAAGUGCAUGAUUAGGCUAAUUCAGUGUUCAUUUUGCUCAGUAAGAAACCCAAAAAAAAUGCAUAGAGCCGUAAAGGCUAGACCUAGGUUUCUAUUCCCAAGUCAUAAACUUCGCAUAGAUUAACUGUUUACAUCGAUACUACAGAUAAAUGUACUGUUCUAUGUCCUACAUGGACCAUUUCUACGCAUAUUUCGCUACGUGUACUUCUUCUAGUUCAAGUUUAUCCAUGCUAGGUUACACUGAUCCAAUUUUGAAUUUAUAUUUAAAGCAAAAAGUCAUCUGCUAAAGCAAAGUACAUUCUUGUCCACGCAUUAAAUUUUAUGAUUCUCGAGGAAUGCUCAACGUUGAAUGCCUACAGUGAUAGAUCAUUAACCCUUUUAAUGCUAACUCGCAUGCAAAAGCAGUUGCUGCAAGGACAAAUCAGAUAAUGAGAUGGAUAGAGAGAGACAGAUAAUUAAUAGAAAAUUACUGUCGAUUCUGGAGUUGGAAUUAUGUGAUGUUGCUUUCUGGGUAAUUGUCAAUUCUUGGAUUUGUCACAUUUCGCAACUUUUUCGAUAAUGUCACAGAAAAGAUGCGCUCUUUUGAUUUGCAUGCAAUCAUGAAUCUACUUCAUUUUCAUGGUUUGAUGUUACCUUAGAGCUACAGAAGUUGUCACAAAAAGGUGACCAUGAAAUUUGUCGCACUCAUUUUGACCUUUUCCUGAUAAUAUUCUAGGAUGAGUGGGUGAUUUCAAGGGUGUUUCAAAAAUGCGGUGCCGGAGCCGGCCCCGGCUCCGGCGGAGGCAAGAAGAGGUUGGCCCCUGGAAUCAACCUUUACCCUGAAGCUAGCUCUCCAUCUUCAGUUUCUCUUCCGCCGCUGCUCGACUCUUCUACUUACACCGCCACCAGUGCCACCUCUGCUUCCACCACUGACCAUGAGAGCUGCUCGUAUGAUUGCAACUCCGCAAAAGAGCAUGUGCCCUGUUUCUCCAAUUCUGCUGCUGCAUCUUUCAACCAUAAUUCUCUAUUUGAGCUGCCUCCACCGCCAUUGCCGCCGCCAGCUCCCGCAGCAACAUUGCUGUCUUCUCUAUUUGAUCCAUCACCAUCAUCUGGAGCCCGUUUCCCAAGGAUUAAUGCUGGCCUGUCUGCUUUUCCUAACUUGAGGUCCUUGCAGGAGAACCUACACUGCCCUUUCUUCUUCCCCACGGCUGCGGCUGCUGCACCACCACCUCAGCCCAUUAACGGCAGCGAUGAGAAUGGAAUUCAUUAUGGCUCUGUCACCAACUGGGCUGCGCCGGAUAAUCAGAAAGUGGGGCCAACUGAGCUUGAUUGCUUGUGGAGCUUCUGAAUCACCUAGACCUUUCCUUUGAGGCUUGAGAUUAAUCUAGUAGUAUUUGCUAAUCUAAUCAGAGAAUAAUAUCUCUGUAGUGUAAUGUUAGUUCUCUCUCAUAGGAGAAACUUAUCUCGGUAAUUAUAGUAGUAUUGUUGCUUUAGGAUUAUAAUAAUUAAUGUCCCGUAUUAGGUCGUGGUACCUGAAUCCUGAUGCAGCCCUAGUUGUCCUGGUAUGAAGCUGCUUUAUUAGUACUUAGUAGUAGCAUUUUCGCAUGUUACUACUCUAUUUCCUCCUAGGUGAUAAAUAUGCCAGUAAUUAUUCGAAUGUUGUUCUCUAGUAUUAAAUGUUUGGAAUGUAGUAGGUUGUACGUGGUACAGCUUUAUCAGUCCGUAAUAUGACGUUCCUUUCUCAGUGGUAUGGAGUAGCAUGUUGCUGUUAUUAAAAAUUCAGCUAUACAUACAUACAUAUAUAUAUACUCACCGUCCGAUUUUGAUCGGACAAACCCAGAAACAUUCCUCUUAUUGUUAUGAUCACCGUUACCAUCGUCACAACCAAUUUUAUGAUCAUCGUUAAUAUAACUAUUUGAUAGAGUUUUAGAAAAACCCUCACCAGGGUUCCUAUGAUUCAAGUGAUCCGACAACAUCGAUCUGCCGAAUAAAUCCGGUAAGCCACCGCUGUCAAAGACGGCGGAGGACGUCGGUCUGUGGCGCACGAGUGAGGGAUCACGGCUGAGACCCAUCUGGCUGAGGAGACGGAGACGGCGUUCUUGAACGGAGGAGGGCUGAGAGAUCCAAACAUCGUAAUUAUUCGAGAGGCCCAUCGGAAAUUUAGGGACAACGCGGACAGGGUCAGACAAGCCGUCGGCUGCAUAAUUAGGAGAACCCGGGUUGGAAAAAGGGUUUGGAUCCUCGGAUUCGGAAGAAGAAGGAGAACAAGAACAGGAGGUGUUGGUCGAGGAGAGGAGCCGGUCCAAUGAGUCGUGGAAACGCUCGUCCUCUUCUUCUUCUUCUCCGGCUUUGCUCAUCGUCUUCGUUUUUCAGUUCCUCCCAUUUGCAGUACCCGUCACAUUGACCCGCUGGCCCGCCCCGGUAUUAAACGGGUCGGACCCUCCCCCCCCCCCCAAAGAGCCAGACGGAAGAGGCCUUUUCCCACCCCCUUUGUAUGCGUGCCUGCGUUUUUCCAAGUGGGUUUUCAGAGAAACGAAGUGGUGGAGAGAGAGUGUGUGGUCGUGUGGGGAAAUGGGAAGAUCGGACAAAAUAUAGAAGAUGAGGGGAUUGGUUUUAAGGUUAAGGUUUUAGCGUUGGGAACUCAGAUCCGAUGAUGGGUUUUGUGAGAGAGAUAGAGAGAUGGGGGGGGAGCAAAAAAAGGGACUGUGUAUUGAGAUGUGAGAGAACAAAAGAAGUAACCGCAGUUCUAUGCAAGUUUGCAGGCAACGGAGGAGAGAAGGGAACGGUGUCGUCUCGUGCGAUGGUGUACUUUACUAUGAGGGGCAAUUAAUUUGGAAAUGACCGCGGGGUUUGAGAAAGAAAGAAGAAAGUAUUGGGACAUGAAAAAUUGGAUUUUGGAUUGAAUAUUCUAAGUUGAUGACUUUUGAUCUAGCGUUGGGGUGGAGAUUAGAAGAAUUGUACUUAAAAAUAGGCCUGGGGCUCCGUUUGUGGAGUUUUGGAAUUUUAACCGUUUGAAUUGCUAUUUUAGGAGUUUUUGUCAAAAAAAAUAUUAUAAUAAUUUUAUGUAUAUAAAAUAAAAAGUUAAUUAAAAAAUAUAAGGGUUAAAUACCAAAAACCCCUGUGAUUUGCCUAAUGUUUACUUUACCUCCCUAUGGUUUAGAAACCUACAAUUUGACUCCCUGUCGUUUCAACUAAAGUGUAUUUAACGGAAUUUCUGUUAGAUUUUCACUUUAGGUUAAAGGACAGGGAAUUAAAUUGUAUAUUUUCAAACCAUAGAGAAGUAAAGUGUACAUUUAACAAACCACAUGGGGGUUUUGGUACUUAACCCAAAACCCUUAUAGAGGGGCAAUUUUGACAUUUUCCUUUCAAAUGUUAGUUUACAUGUUUUUCGUUAGACUUUUACUUUAGUUGAAAUGACAGGGAGUCAAAUUGUAGGUUUCCAAAUCAUAGGGAAGUAAAGUGAACAUUAGACAAACUACAUGGGGAUUUUUGGUAUUUAACCCAAAAUAUAAUGAUGAAAAACCACAGUCAAGCUUAGUGCCUGAAAACACAGAGAGUUUUUAAUCGGAAGAGGGUUUGGACUUUGGAUUGAUGACACCUUGUUUGGAUUGCGGUUUUCGUCGAAAAAUUACAUCGUUUUCUGUGAUCACAUUUCUCUAUUAUCUUUUUUCCUCACAUACAUCAAAUCGCUACAGUAAUUUUUCCAUGAAAAAUACAAUCCAAACACAACCUUGAGCAUUCGGACCUCUGAGACUUCUAUUGUUAAAAUUGAGGUUUUGAUCCGGCAAUGCUUUUUACAUUUUGUUUUUUCUUUUCUUUUGUCAAUUAAGUUCAUGGAUUUACUUGGACAAGAGAAUGUCACGUUUUAAUUUGCAAAACGCUCGACGAUAAAGACAAGGUGCGUUCCUCAAAACAAAAACAGAGGGAGUGACUGGAAACAGGGAAUAUUUGUUGCUUGAUUUUUAGUGCUAUAGCGGCAGAAAAUUCCCAAAAGCCAAAGAUUAGGUCCAAGAAUUCAAGAAGCAAAGAAAAACUGUUUGAAUGAAUCCAGCCAGCAGGUAAGGUCCUUUGAAUGAUGUGCAGUACCAGUACCAAGAGAGUAGGAUUCAUGAGUUAAGUUUACAACAUCACCAUCAUCUGCCUACUUCCGCUUGGAUAAUCUAGUUGCAGUUCUCUACCAAAAUGAAAUCAAUCCAAUGAGUUUCUUUUGUUGGCUAGUUGGUAUAGCAUCUAAUAGCAAAGUUGUAUCAAGAUAUUUGAACAAAUCAGAGUAAAAUUCUUAUCUGACAGCAAAUUCUUAUUGUCAGAGUUCAGCGGGGCAAUUGAAGCAAGGAUACAAUAUCACUUUUAGUAAUAAAAUAAACAAAUAACCUUGAAUACUAGCUGUGUUUUUGGGGUGGUUUUAAAAUAUUUUACUAGAGUAAUGUUUACUAUAAAUACGUUUUUUAUGAUGUUUUUGAAAGGAUUUUUGGAAUAUAUUUUGGAGAAUCUUUUAAAAUUAAAAUAUUUUUAGGAUACUUUUUAAAAAUUAAUACUACUACCUACAACCACCACCCCUUCCCUCUUUCUCCUCCCUUUCCCUAUCCUGCACCCCGCACCCCCCGACCCUCUCCUCUCCCCCUCGAUCAGGUCGAGUCCUCUAGUCGCAACUAGAUCACAAUCAGAAAGUUGCGACCUUUUGGACGCGAUUCGGCCGCAACCAGAUUGAGGGUGGGGAGGGGGGGGAGGAAGAGGGAAUGGGAAAAGAGUAGUACGAAGAGGGUAGGAAAGGGAGGAUGAGGGAGGGGUUGGUAGCGGUGGUGGGUGAUAGUGAUAGAUGAAAAAUAUUAUAGAAUUUAUUUUUUAUAUAUAUAAUUGUGAGUUAUUUUUGAUAUAUUGUAUAGAUGAGAUUUUUUUUUGAAUUAUUUUUAUUUAUGUAUUGAUGUAAUAUUGUAUUUAAAAAAUUAGUUUUUAAAAAAAGGCCAAUCCAAAUGGAGACACUAAAAUGUUGGAUUUAAUUAAAUUUAUUUACAUUCCUAGUUGAUUAAGUUAGUAUGUUUGCACCCUAGCUAAUUUUCCACAACUAUGUUUGACGCGAAUGGAGCAUUCUCAAAUUUAGAAACGAGUACAUUUGCAAGGGAUUUGAGCAGUUUAGAGGUAUCUAAUACCUCAUGAGUGAGUAAGAAUCAUAAUAAAGUCAUUCAUGUGUUAGUUAAAAAUGCAAAAUUCACAUGUGAUCAUAUCUUUUGGAGGAAAGAUCCUCACAACUUUGUUGUGCCAUUUCUAAUAUGGAAGAUUUGUUAGAAAGUUAGUGAAGUUUCAAUAUUUCUACCAAAGAAACAAUGAAGAGUAAACAAAUGUUAACCAGGCCAUUUGUGACAAGAUUAAUUAAAUAUCACACAGAAUUUGGACCAGGCAGCUGCUAGAUCCUGGCACUUGCUUUUUAACUUUAUGCAUGAGUGAGUUGGAUCAGACAUGAAUCAAGCUGCACGCGGUUCACCUUUGAGAUCGAUCCAGCUGUUAGCAGUGGCAGAUUAAAUUAGGAAUUUAGGAUCCUUCCAAAUCAGAAGUUAAGUAAGAUUGAGUUGUCUCGGCCGAUUGGAGACACCUUAUGAGUCUUGCUCUGCUUUGUUUAAAUUCCAUGUGUAAAUACAGUAGAUUUGGGGAAACAAAGGGAGGGAGCAAGAAUUCUGCUCAGCCAACCCCAAAUCCCGAAUACACAAGCGUAAAUUUAUAAACGGUCAAACUAAUGCUAGUUCAAUGGGAAUGUCGGAAGGUGAAACUUUUUGUGGUCCAUGAAGUUCUGCAAUUGUUCAUUGUCGCUUUGUCCCACUCAUAAUGUUGCACCAAUUGAUAGUGUCACUUAAAAAGUCCAACAAAGUGGAUUUAUUAACCUGAAUAGAAACUCUUGAAUGUACACAAACACUUGCCAGCUGCCGCUAGGUCGAACGACGAAAAGGCUUGGAAUGAGCUAAUCUUAGACAUUUCCUAAUUUACUCAAAUUUGUAAAAGAGUAUAAGAAGAUGGAAAGAGUGCUGAAGUGAUCCCAAAACAAAACAAUAGGGUAAAAUCCGACUAUGUAGAUCACUUGGCUUAAAAUUUGUCACACUAGAAUUGAUAGUGUGGCAAAAUUUGGAUCGCAUGAUGUACAGCACCGGAUCUACUCAAGUUUUUGUCAACAAUUAAGUAGUUUUCCUUUGAGACUUAGCUCGAAUUCGUGGAAAUAAAAAAUCCAUAUCGGCAUUAAAGGACCAGUUCAAGGACAAAUCAUAUUUUUGUGGAUGAAAGAGAAUUUGAGAUUUCAUAAAAAAAAAAAAAACUGAUUAGCAAAGAGUAGACGGUAGAGUGAUUCAAAAUCUUGUUAAUUUGAUUGGAAAUUCUCGAGGAGUUAAUCCGAGGCGUUCAUUCUCUUAACAGUUAACACUGUAGAUUAGAAAAAGGAUAAAGGAAGCUAAUGAAGUAGCCCCAAAUCAGAGUACCCCAGAAUUAUAUUCUUUUCUUCGCAUUGUUUCGAGACUCGACACGAAUCAACCAGACCAGUUCAUUUUCCUCAAGGUAAAAACACUUUCCUAAGCUUCUUUAUUGCUCCCUGAAAGUUGUACGCUUUGUACUACGAGGAUGUGGACGUUGAAGUGUAGUAGUUGGGCUUUGAAACUACGGAGUAUAGAAUGGGCCUAAACCUACUAACCUUUAAUCAAAAAAGAAAUGUACAUUUUCCACAUGCUUUCAGCCCAUUACUGUUAAAUCGACCGUGACAUCAGUCCUCAACUGCUUUCGGGACCAUCUCUCAUGAAUGCGGAGUUUGUCUUGGCUUAGCUGCAGCACUGCCCUCUCAAAUCUCUCCUAGGUUGGUGGCGAAGAUAUAAGGAACGAUUUAAUAUACGUGAAAUAAAAAUGUGACUGAAAAAUAAAUUUAUAAAAGUAUAUUUUUUUAUUCUAUUGAAAGUGUCAUAUUUUUUUAUCUUAAAACGUCCUAAAAUAAUUGUUAUGUUAAAAAAGUCAAAACACUUUUUAGUCUCUCUUUCUAAUAUGUCCAAUUUUUCUAAUCAUAUGCAUAUUACCAUUCAAAUUUAAAUUUUAAAUGUGUGGGGAUAAAAUUGAUAAAAAGGUACAAGCUUUACGAUGAAACUACUAUUCUUAAAAAAUUAAAUUUUCCAAACAUGACUAAAUAAAUGUAACACUCACUCACGUGCUGGAGUGUGAUUGAAUAUUAUUCUUUUUUUUUAAAUAGUUAUUUGCUUGAAUUACAAAAUGGUCCUUUCAUGGCCGUUUGACUUUUGGAUCAAACAAAAGCUGUAAUGAGGCGUGGUCUAUAGUGUGCUACUCUAUAGCAUAUAGGUAAGACUUUGAGAAUCCGAACCGUGGAAGAAAGUAGAGGCCAACAUGUUGAGAUUGUGGGGUUAGUGGGACGUAGGUAGGUCUCAAAAGCAGUGUAAAUGUCCCGCAUUUUGCCUCAAUUUUCAACAGUGGACUUAACUGCCACCGCAUACUCCAAUUAGUGGAAAAUUUUCGCGUAAGAUUUUGAUGCUUCGAAGCUCUGGGUCCGGGGAACAACAAGUCAAAUGAUACACCAUUGCCCAGAUUUUCUUGAUUCGUUUUGUGAAGCAACUAUCUUGAUUCGUUUGUUCGCGCUAAAUAUUUGCUUAAAUACAUUACAAGGUUACAGAUAGGCCUGUCAACGGGUCGGGGUCUAGACCCGGAUCCGGACCAAAUUCGUGAAAUUAUUGCGGGUAUGGGUAGGGAUUUAAUUCCGUUUUCCGGAUCCGGAUCCGUUUUGUCAAACAAAAAAACGGGUUGGAUACGGAAUAUAGUAUUCCGACCCGUAUUAGUCCCGGAUCCGAAUAUAAAUGAAUUAAUAAUUUAAAAAAUAUAUAUUUAUCAAUAUAAUUUGAUUAGGGUAAUGUAUUUGAGUAAAGUCAAUUUGAUUUCUUUUCUUAUUUGAUUUUUUCUUUGCAUUAGUUAGAAAUUAGUUUACAAAUAUAUUUUUUUCUCAUUUUUAUUAGAAAUUAUAAAUUUUGCUAAAUUUGUGCGGGUAGACCCGACCCGGAUCCGGGACCGCCGGAUCCGGAUCCGGAUCCGGAACAUAGAAUAAAAGAUCCGUCGGGUAAACGGGUCGGAUCCGGUUCCGGUAUAGUGAUUCAGGUCCGGGUCCGGAAUAAUGAAUUCCGGCCCGGACCCAACCCGUUGACAACCCUAGUUACAGAGACGGAUAAUGCACAUAUGACAUACAUGCGUUUGGAUUCAUUUAUACAUACACUAUUAAUGUAGGAAAAAUUUACUUUUAUGUCCGAUAUAAGAUGUUAUCAAAAUUAUUUUAAUAAAUGUAAGUAUAAUUUAGGAAAAAGAUUACUACACUUUAAGAUAAGUUUGAUCAUCUAAAGCAAACCUAAGAGCAUUGUUUGGAAAGUAAUUUUUCUUUUUCGCUACGUUUUUUAUAGACACAUUUUUCAAUCACCUUUGUACCUUACAUAUAUCAAAUCGCUAUAGUGAUUUUUCUAUAAAAACUUUAAGAUAAGUUUGAUCAUCUAGAGCAAACCAAUGCCUUGUUCGGACAGUAAUUUUUCAAAGAAAAAUUGUUAUAUUUUUUCGUAAAUAUAUUUUUUAAUCACCUUUUUACGUCACAUAUACUCAAUCGCUAUAAUAAUUUUUGUAUAAAAAAAAUUCAGAAAAAUGCAAUCCAAAUGAGGCAUGGAAGCAGAGACGUAGUGGUGCAGUGCAGCAUCAUACUAGUUCACAACUCAUUAACUACUACUACUCAUCAAAAAAAUAUUUUUUUUUUGGGUUAUAAACAUGGGGAUACAUACAACUCAUUCGAUCGUGGGCAUUUUAAAAAGGACAGAACGGCCUAGCUCGUCUGCAAGUGUACCACUGUAAACAGACAGCAGGAACGCGGGGCAGACGGUAUAAUGGUGAAGAGGUUCAACAGAAAAGGAUUAAUAAGGAAGGACGGUGGCUGCUGGCGCUCAUCCUCUUAUCUAAUCAUCUAAACACAGCGUUGGCGCACAUGCUGAUCACUAAUCAUCAUAAUUGGCAGCGAUAAUAAUAUUCUACAGUAUUUGUUUUGUUGCUCCUUUCUUCACAGCUCUCCAUUGGAAACUUCAUGUUGUACUUGUCAGCGUUAAUUAUUCUGGCAAUAUGCAUAUAAAGAAGGACCAAUCCACGAGCCAUCUCAAUUAUUUUUCUUUGUUAAUAAUAAUAAAUGUUAUUUCUCAGAUUAGUACACACUAAUUUGUCUCCCAGACCCAGAAUUUAUUUAUGAGUUUUCGAGCAAGUACGUAUGCCACCAAUUUCGUUAACAUCGGCACCGGAAAACGUAUAUUCAGGGAGUGAAUGGUAAAUUUAAAACUUUAAUAAUCAUGAUUGUACCUUCCUUUUGUGUGUGUGUUCAAGUUCAAGCACCAAAAAAAACAAAAAUCACAAAAUGUACUCAAAAUGAACUUAAAAUCAUCAAGGAAUGUUCAGUAAAAGUUUGAAAAAAAAAUUAACAGUUUUUUUUUUUAACACCCUCAUCUAAGUGGACUCUGUGAAUCGGCCUGAAAACGAAAUGCGGGUUGUACACAAUUAUAGCUUGGGAUUCCAUUCAAGUAUUUUGUAACCCCACCACAUUUGGGCUCCAUGGAUGGGAUUUUGGAAUACUGAAAGGACCAAAUGAUGAGAUAUUUGGUGGACGAUUGCACGAGAUCCAUGAAUUGGAAGAUGCCACAGCCAAGCACUGUCAUUAACCACAUAAAUCAUACACUGGUAAUUAACCAAGUUUGUGUGGUUUUGCUUCGCCUUGCAUUAUUAUAAUUGCACCAUUAUUUUCUGAUUUAUCACGCAAGUAAACUGGUGGAAAAUGCUACCAUCAUUAGUAGUACAUUGCAUAGUGCCAGACAGACAGCGCGGCCUGAUUCCCUUGAAAGGAAUCUUAAUCAGCAGCAAUGCAAAGAUGUGAGAGAGACUCAAGUUGAGGCUUAAUUUAGUGGUCUAGAUUUUACUACUAUUUGGAGUAGUUUUUACCGAUGCCAUUAAGACUAUGAUGUUUUACUAUUUUAUUGUUAAUCAAAAGUUACAACCUGACUUCCUCAAUCAUCAGUGGUCCGAUUAAUGAAUCCAUAGAAUAUAAGUUCGUUCUUAUAUAUUUAUAAAGCUUAUUACCAAUUCAACUAUAAUUAAUGGGUAGACAUCAACAUUUGAUUUGAGACCACACGUUCAAAAGGACUCCAUUUUAUGCUUUUAUCUUUGAUUAGAUGGCUUUUGAUUUUGGCGCAUCAUAUCACCAAUCACAGCUGCUUGAGGAAUGGCAAGUGACAAUUAUGCGAUUUAAUUAAGCUCUUCCCGAUCGCAGGUGUGUUUCAGACGUUGAGAAUAGCCCCCACCGGAGACUUUUAAGUCUUGGUGGUGGGGUGGGAGAUCAAGGAUUCAAACCUCUUGUCUCCUGUCAUUUACUCAUUUAUACAGUUUUUUCAAAUUCAUAAGGGUGCUCGUCUGAUCCGAAGAUGGUUCAGUUCUCGUCGACUCCCCCUUAUGGGCCUCUCCCAUAAGUGACGAAUGACAAAAAAAAAAAAAAAAAAGAAAACACGAUGCCACUCCAAUUUUCUUUUUCCUUUUUUCGAACGACCCACCCUUAGAACAACAUUAAUCUUUUACAUGCAUAGCUUGGAGCAAUAAAUUUAAAAAGAAUUUCAAGACGUUAAUGUCAGAAAGAAUCAUUUCUCCAACGUUUUAAUUUAAAUGUGGCCCCAACCCAAAACCAAAAGGAAUGAUUUUUGGCAAAAAUCUAAAUAAAAAACAACCCAAGAGAGAACAUCAAAGGAACGAUCAACAAGAUAAGCUUUAGAUUACAGAAUAGUAUCAUUGCUUAGAUCACAAUUAGAUGGUCAAGAAAGUUGUGAGACCAAAUUGUAUAUGGCAAUCUCGUACCAACCUCCAAUGAAAAGCAGCAUACAUGCGAGAACACUUCCUUGAUGCAUGUAUUUAGCAGAUUUGAUAAAAGGAAAAAGAAAGGUCAUUGGUGAAGGCAGACAUGCUUGAGAUACUACGUACUACUGCUCCACAACCAACAACGACUAGAGGGCAUGCAUGUGCAUUGCACUAACUUUGGGUUUUAUUAAACAUUAAUAUCAGAAUAUGAUAGAUCAAUGAAAAGCCAGUUGAGAUUAGGCCAAUCAAUGGAACGUUUUGGCAGAAACAUGGCAACAUGAUAUAUCAUAAAUUAUAUAUAUAUGGCAGAGACAGCGUGUCGUCAGUAACAUACUAAUAAUUAUAGAUUUAGUAUAAGAUUCAGGUAUAACACUACUGUUUCUUCAAGUACUACUAAGCAUCUUAGAGUUUAACUUUCACAGCUGCUCAGCUUCUGAAACAUGAUAUAAGACCAAACCGCUUGUGAAAAAGUCUACCCAUAUGCCUGAUCUGUGUCAAGCCCCCUCCUUGUACUCAACUUCAAUUUUGUAGUUUUUUUUUUAGCUCAAACUUCGAUUUUGUAGUUUAAAUGCAAAAUAUGAUGGUAUUUUCGAGGGAGGUUGGUCGGGCACAAAUCCAAGGUUAGGCGUAAAAAAAAAAAUUUUUUUUUUUAAAAAAGGCUUAACAAUGGGCCGAGAGAAAUUUUAUGUUGCACUCUCAAGGUUUUGGGUGCCCCAUAUUUUUAGUGACUCAAUAUAGCUCAAUCCUCGUAUUUCCCGUCGUACCAGCUAACAGUUUUGUUUCUGGGCCUAACGGGGAUUUGGGUCUCAAUGUGCUAGACUACUUGUGUUCCACUGUCUCCCUUCACAUCCUCGCUAUGUUGUGCAAAACCUAAUGCCUCAGACAGUAAAACCAAUAAACACCUAAGGAAAAGUCCAAGGUAGGAAUUGGGAAGCCAACGGUCAACUUUUCCCUUAUACUCCCUCCGUCCCACUUUGUUAGUCUUGUUUUCCUUUUCGUCCGUCCCAAAUUGUAGUCCACUUUCCCAUUAAGAAGUGUAGUAAUCUUUCAAAUUGUCUAAAAUACCCUUAUUAAAUAUCUUGUUAUUAAUACAUUGUUAUUAAAUACUAACUCACUACAUUGAAUACAUUGAACUUUUCCAAUACAUUGACUGCAUUGAUUAGCAUAAGGGUAUUUUAGGAAAUUAUUAAUCUAAAUUUAUAUUUUCAAAAAUUAAUUACACUUUCUUAAUCUGUGUGAAAAAAAAAACCAAAACUAACAAAACGGGACGGAGGGAGUAUAAUCUUUCUUCGUCCACAACUCUAAGAAGAAUGGCGGAGUUUGACUUCCACUGAUUUUUCACCCUCACACUACAAGAAUAUUUGAGCCACUCCUCAUUCUUAUUUCGAACCUUUCCUCCUAAAGAAUUUCAAACCUUGAACAAUAUUAUAUAAUAGUAGUAUUUUUUUUUUCUAAACUUGUACUUUGGUAAUGUUUUUGUAAUUUGCGGUUCAAUUACUUUUUUAAUAAAUAAAAAAUCUUAAAUUUAGAAUUUCCUAUUUACUAUUUCUCCGACCAACUCAACCCUCUCCCCGAUUACUGGUUCAGUUAUUCAGUUUAUUCUAACCCUGGGGCGAUGAAUUCAACGGUAUCGCUUAGAAGAUAAGAUAGGCGGCGCUACACUACAGUGUAAGCUGACUCCGACCUUCGAAUUUAGAAGACUAAAUUGAAAGCUCAGUUAUUUCUUUUAAGCUCAGUAACUCUUUCAGAAACACGUUAGCUAUAUUACAUGCAUAUCCAUCUCCGACGAUCCACGGCGAAAAAUGUUUAUUUCUGUUAAGGUAGAAGAAUAUGCAGUUGAUCUUCGUGCAGUUACAACGUUAACGUUUAUACUGUAAUUCUAUAACAUCACUAACACCUAAUCAUCAAUUAGGCUUAAUGAGUAAUGACUGACUAUUUAGUUUAGAAAACUCUGCGAUGGUUAGGCAUGCGUUGGGACGGAGCCAAAAAUUUUAAUUUGAGUACAUGUGCAUAUAAACUUUAUAAUAAAUCCAAUUUUUUUUAGGGAGAGGGAGAAAUAGUUCAAAAUACAUAAAAAAAAAAUUAAAUAUCUCAAAGAAAGAAAAUCUGGAUAUCAAGAACUUUGGGUUGCAGUGGCCCUUCCUGCCCCUCCCCAGUUCUGUCCUUCCCAUGCGAAGCUCUCAAACUUAAUAUGUCAAAAAAAAAAAAAUAAAUGUAGUUCCACCGCCUCGCCCACAAAGGAAAAAAAAAACCAAUCCAGAAGAAAAGAUGCAAUCCAAACAACAACCAUCAUAUGCAUGUUUGUAGAAUAAUAAGUUUAAAGUCACAUAGAGGAGCUAGGGAACCGUGGUCCAUGCCACCAACUCCGUGCGUGCUUCAAUUCGAUAAGCAUUAUAGCUCAAUUUGCUAUAUGUCUGGUUGAGAAAAGGUUAGUUUACCUGUCAGAUCAAAAGUGGAAAUUCAUGCUGAGGCCGAGGGACAGCCUACUUUUGAGAGCCAGAAGAGUGCAAGUCUACAAAGUACAAAGAUCACAUUCGUCUUUCUGAUGCAACAGCGUAUGCAAGGAAUGACUAAAACGAUUGUGUAACUAAUUAAUGGAUCGUCUUGGAAAAGAAGCCAACGUGAAGCAAAAUCUGGAUGCAGGAAGUUGAUUGUGGGCUAAGAAAAAGAAUUACUCCCACUACAUCAAAAAGAGCAUGUAAACAAUCACUUCAGGAAAAUUAAUGGGAAACAAAUUCAGCCAAAUAUAUCGAGAGACUACAUUGAAUAUAACGUAUCGGGAUUCAAGAACCAGACUAGGAUUGUGUGUGUGUGUGUCUGUACUUGGUUAAGAAUUAAGAUUUUCGUGCAUGCCUAUUAUGACGGUAUUCUCCGAUGGUAAAAACUCGUGCCUUUCUGACCUACCCUUUGUUUAAGGGAUUGAAGGCAUUUGAACAUCAAGAACGGCGCAUGAAUUUUCAGUCAAGCAAUAUCCAUCAGAUUGUUGCAGCAAAUCUGCCAUGGUAAUGUUUUCCCACAUUGGACUACUUGGAAUGGGAAAACCACUACUACUACCCUGGAUUGUAGUGGUCAAAACUUCUGUCAUGCUCCUCCCCCACAUAAUUGGAUCAGAAAAACCCUGAAGACCUUGUUCUGGUGGAAUACUCAUUCUACCUGCCUGAUUAUCAGCAGCGAGAAUAAUAUCCUCUGAUCUUGAUUCAUGAAAACUGCUUUUGUACUCAAAGCCCUUUUCAGUGUACUCCGUGAUUAUGCUAGUUUUGUUUCCAUUGGUUGAAGGAACUACAACUCCCUGUUUAUUGGGCAUUUGGAACUUGUUGAGUUUAGAGGUCUCAUUGGCGAUGCUAGAUGAAGAUAGGGAGCUUGUACCUGAGACUUCUUGUGCCUCCAUCUGGCAUGCUGCUUCGCUGCCACGGAAAAGAUGAGGAAAAUUGAGUCUCGCAUUCUCUCCUCUCAACCUGAAGGCUUCGCGAUCAUAAGCCAAAGCAGCUUCUUCUGCGGUAUCGAAUGUGCCUAACCACAAACGCUUCCUGUUUCGAGGGAGACGAAUCUCCGCAACCCAUUUCCCCAGUGCCGUUGCCUAACGCCCCUGUAAAUUUUAGGGGGCGAAACAGAAAGGUUAUGGGGAAGAACAAGUCCUAAUCUAUUCAUCAUCACUGUUGCAGCUGAUCUUCCUCCAGGACUCAAAGCUAGGGUGUCUUUCCAGUCCUGAAGAAGCUCCUGAUGAUUAUGUUCAGGUCCAAAAGAAAUCAUAUGGUGCUUCUCGGAUGGUAUCGAUGAUGUUGAAUGAAACCCAGCUGGAGAUUGAGUUGUAACUCCUAUUUGUCUAGAUCUUGUAAUUGUUUGAGGUUCAUGGUCUAGAGCGAAAGGGAAAACAAACCUUGAAGAUGGAGAACGCAUGGGUGUUCUUGGGUAUGUUUGAUGAUGAUUGGAAAUUGCUGCGGGGCUUCGGAUCUUCUUGAGAGGCCUGUCCAAUGUAACUGUCUUUUGGUGAACUUCUUUCGCAUGUUCCUUCUCUUUUGCUGAAAUUCAGAUUAUCUCGAUCAUCUGCAUAAUGAUCCCCCUCAGGCAAGCUGGCGUCUUCCAUUAAUUAUAACCUAUUUCCAGGGUGCAGUGCAGCAUCAAAAUUGACUCAAGAGCAAAGGCCUGGAAGUCUGGAAUGUGAACAAAGGCCUGAUCACAAUUGACUCGAGCAUCAUGACGAAAGAUGAGAAACAGAAGCAUUGUGUGUAAGCCUUACAUGAGAGUCAAGAGUUCAAGGGGCGCAGACUUUGAGAUAUGAUAUACUUUGCUUGCAGGGAAAGACAAUGUCCUUAUAAGUGGUGGAUUGUGAUUUUUCUCACCCACCUCAUGGCGCUGUUUUUCAAACUUGUGCAAAUCUUUCCGCCACUGGAAUAGAAGCUAACGCUUCCCACAACUGUCCUCAGUGCAAGCCAUCAGGAACUUAACUGACUCUUACAGUUCUAGACGAGCCAGUCUUGACAUGCUUGUAAACUUUAUGCUCUUCCAAGGGGCUAAAAGAAUAGUAGCAUACGGCCAUAAUAGCACAACGGAUCUUCUGUCUACAUCCUGUGCCACACUCUAUCCUACUUUUUAUUAUAUUGCUAUUUCUCCUUCAUAAACAUCAUGUUUUAGUUCUUUUUUGUUUCCUUAAAAUCCAAUAACUAUUAAUUCAGUAAUAAAGAAAUACAACAGCUUCAAAAAAGUAAUAUAUAAUAGAAAAAUAAAAAUACAGCAGAAAAUUCAUAAAAAAUCUCAUUUUUUUAUGCAUUUUGAUUUUUUGAGUUUGUUAAAUUUUGUGUAUUACUGAAUUAAUAGUUAUUGGAUCUUAAGGAAACAAAAACGAAUUAAAACAUGAUGUUUAUGAAGGAGAGAUAGCAAUAUAAUAAAAAGUGGGACAGAAAGUGACAUAGGGUAUGGGACAGAAGAUCCGUUGCGCCAUAAUAGAUGCAUGACAGAUGCUUAUUCUUUAAUUUAGGCCAAAAUUUCUGGUGGCCCUCAAACUAUUACAAAUUUUAAUUUUGGCCUUCAAUUAUUGACUGAUAAAUUUUUGCCCUCAACUAAUUAAAACGUAUAAUUUUAGCCCUUCCAUCAACUUCAACUACAUAAUUCAUGAUUCUCUAGUGGUUCUCAAACUAUUAAAAAGUUCAACUUUUGGUCCUCUAACUAUUAACUUAUAAGUUUAACCUUCCAACGAAUUAAAACAUAAUCCUAACUUUUCCGUUAGUUUGAGUUGUCAUGUCGAAUAGAAACGUCUCCACAUGCGCUAUAAGGGAAUAACCGAGCACGUUUUCAUCUUGAUAGUGAUGUUUCUAUUAGAUACAACGACACAAGUUGAUAGAAAAAACUAGGAUUAUGUAUUUUAAUUAGUUGAAGGGUUAAAAUUUAUCAGUUAAUAGUUAGAUGGCUACUGGAACACGUACACAUCGUGCUAUUUCUAUUAGAUAUAACACUCAAAUUGAUGGAACUGUUAGGGUUAUAUUUUUUUUAAUUAAUUACAAGACUAAAACUUCUUAGUUAAUAAUUGGAGGGCCAAAAAUUAAAUUUCAUUACAAUUUGAGGGCCAUUGGGACAUUCGAUCCUUUAAUUUAAUACUGAGAGUGAGAAGAAGUUAGAUGGCCUUGACAUUUAAAAAAAAAAAAAUUUUUUUUUUUUAACAUUCCACCCAGCUUCGUGCCCUUUUCACCCAACUGCCGCCGUGCAUAAACCUAAGACAAGUUAGUUGUAUAUCAAGCCAUUGACGACGUCUGCUUUGCUCGUGUACACCGGGCAUGCUCAAACCUAAGACAAGUUGGUUUUUCAAGGAAUAACAACCGGCAUGCUCCUCAGCAUACAAAAGAUUAAUCAGCACCAAAUCUCACAAAUUAUCUUACUCGGCAUGUAUGCUAAACUGCCAAUUCAUCAUUCAACACCAAAUUUUACCCUUUUUUUAUUUUUUAUUUUUUUGAGUAACAAUAGCUUAAUCGGGUCCUAUUUAUUUGAACUUGAUUACUAAAGUUACAACGGUCUGAAAAUUCAUAAAUAAUUUUAGAUUAUGUUCAUAUAAAUCACCAGUCGUUCAUUACUUUUGACAUAGAGUCUACUUCACUAGCCCAGUGACAGUAAACCUGCCCAGGUGGUAGAUUGCGAAGUCGAGGAAUCAGGAUUCAAUGGAGCACUCAACCAUUGAUGAUAGAAAUGGUGAAAUGACGAAGGAGGCAUGCAGCUGCCGGUUUCGUUUGGGGGCAAAAUGGAGUAGAGGAUGAGAGGAGGACCCUUUGCUUUUGCAAUCUUCGGUGUCAAGUAUAUCAUCAUAUAACAGUAAUCUGUAUCGUAUAAAGUGUAGUGUGUUGUAACGCAAAAAAUUAUACUUAAUAUAAAUAAUAACAAAUUUUUGUUACUCAAAUAAAUUUCAUCCACCAUCUAAAUUUUGCUUAAACUUCUCUGGCCAUCAAUUUCAAUAUUAGGGCACAUAAUUAUUUAAGCAAAGUUAAUGUGGAUUUCAAUGUUUAAGCAGAAUUAUGCAGCAUGCCAUUUGUGGAAAGAAGCUCAAUCUAGUGUUGAUCCACUUAAACAACCCCUUUUUAACCAAAUCGGGCCCCGUGGACGAGAAUUAAUCGUCAUUAGAGAUAUACUGCAAAUAAAAUAGGUAUUUUGAAAAGUCAAAACACUGAACUUAAUGAUGGCCACAAAGUCAAACCAGCGACCAGGCGUGCAGAUUUGAUGCCACCAGCACGCUUAAUGGUUAAUAAUUCUUUUUGUCCCUCAAAUUCUGAUGCAGAGAAGUAAAGUUCAAUCCAUUAAUUUGGCCUGUGGAUUAUAUUAAUUGAGGCGUGAUUUGCCAUUGUCGUCACUCAUCGUAGACUACAGUAUGUGGAAAAUCUUUUAAGUCAGAGUCAAAAACGAAUCCAGUCAUAUUCCUCUUUGUACAACAAUAUUUUAACACUAAUAUUUUUCAUUUAAAUAGAGAAUGCUAUUUUUAGGAUUCAUCGUUGUCCCAACACUAUUUUUUUUUAAAAAAAAACUCCUUUUAGCCAAUAAAGUAAACCAACAAAAGCUCUAUAGAGACUGGAGUUUUAAGGGUGGAAAAAAAACAAAUUUUGUAUAUCUAAAUACAAGCCUAAAAUAACAUGCUUUCAAAUUACUCACAAUACAUCCUCAAUGCACCAAAUAAAAAUAUAGGAAAAACUCCAUCAUUUUCUUCGUCCAUAUAGGGAAAAAACCCCCGACCUUGCUCCUCCACUUCUCCUUCUCCCCAGGAGAAAGAAGGAAAAGGGAAAGAGGAAAAAAGGCAGAAAGAGGGGGUUUUUUUGGGAAGAGGGGAGGGGCGAGGGGAAAGGAGAGAAAGGAAGGAGAAAGGUGGCCGAUAGGAGAGGGAGGGAGGGGCGGCGACAGUGAGAUGGUGUCGGGCGAGGGAGGACUAGAGGUGGUGCGAGGUUGGAGAAGGGGGAAGGAGAAUAAAUUUUAAAAUUUCAGAAAUAUUCCAAAAAAAGUCAAAAUUUUAAAAGUACCUCAAAACAUACCAUACAAACAGAAAUUUUCUGUGAAUACAUCUACAAAUUUUUUUGAAAAAAAAAAAACCCUUAAAAGCACCCAAUCCAUACGCGGAUUCAAACGCUUUUGCAAGAACUCUUCUAAAAAACUACCGUUUACACGGACAAGUUAAGGAAAUGACUCCCACAGUUCCCUGCCGGCAACAUGUAGCCGUCCCUUCUUGAAGUAGGAUCACCUUUAAGGAGACAGUUGUUUAUCACCUUGAAAUUGGUAAAAAGAUCAAAGCUGCCAAAAUCCAAUGCCGCUUUAAUAAGUAUUACACCUUACUUAAACCUUGAAUUCGAGAUUUCGAUGUAUUGCAAUUCAACUCAGACUCUCACACUAGAAACAUACAUGCAUCUAAGAUAUUUGCAAUGACAGGCAUGAAAGAAUGAAAAACUCAAUUAAGACUCCUGUGACAUCAAUAGAAGUAGAAAGGGGAAAUACAAGUCAAUCACAGACUCCAGUCCACACUACGACUUCUCUAUCAACAAGAUGUAGUUCACCUAUCAGCUUAACAAGCUUUACUUGUAGGCUCCCAUGCCCACAGCAGAUUCUCCACCAUAAGGUUCAAAGCUGGCUCCGGCGUUAGAAAAGGAAACGUAGUAGAACUCGGAAAACUAUGCCAGUGAAGAAUACGAAAGCUGCUCCUGCGGCAAAAACUCCCUUCCUAACUGUCUCACAGGAGGAGGAUCCUCACCACCAAAGAUCGUCCUGUAUUUGGUGUGAUAAGCAUUCCUAACUGAACCAGCUAGCAAGCAUGCCUCGGCAAUCAGGAAGAACAACCUGAAUCAUAGCAAUUUUUUGCAGAAGAUAAUAAAACCAUCAAUCUUUCAAGCACCAACUUGUGUUGUAAGUAGUAUUGAUAAUGGAGAAAAGCAUUUCUCAUCAUGCCAAUUAGAUUAUAACAAUUACAUUAAACGGAACAUACAGAGAAUAAUAAAGAGGAGGACUGCACAAGCUCUUGAACCUCCAGGUUUGAGAGGCCUUGCCGCAGCAAAAACAUUUGCUUGCCAACAUUAUGAUCACUUGACUAGCCAUGAGGAAGAAAAAUGCCCCAACACCGAACCCCGUUGCGAUAUCAGAGUCAUAGACACAAUAAUUAUAAUCUUUCUCAUUAUCCGAUGUAACUUUGGCCUGCCAACAAGCACAUUAUAGGACCAUUAGUAAGGGCUUGCUUAUUGAAAAAAAGACAGAGAAGAGCUCAUAAUUCAAACGAAAGUUUAGCAUAUUAAGUUUAUGUGCAUGAUAGAAAACAUUUUUUCAGAAUAACUCGAAAGUCUGCAAAAUAAGAUCCAUCUCGAGCAGCAAAAAUAAACUCUAUUUCAAACAGCAGACGAUAACGAUAAUGUCCACCAGCUUACGUUUUGGUUGAACCCAAAGGAGCAUAUUGGGUGAUUCCAACAGAUCAGGUGUACUGAAGCAACAAUCUAAAGCAUGCAUGUACAACACGCCAGCAGUGGGAGUCGGAUUACGGCGACACAUCAACUAGAUUUCAAACUACUACUCGCGCUAGAAAUAAUCGUGGAAGUAAUAUGUAAGCAUUUAGAGAUGAAACAAGUCAAAAGUAGAGACUGGCUGAAUUUCAGAGAACUUCAGAGCAGGAAUCUUGAGAUGAUGUGCAUGUGUAGGUCAGACAAUGGUAUUUAACAGGGCAAAUUAAGCUGACUUUUCUAUGCAAAGCAUCGUCUUCUAGUGAUUGGUUUCUGUGAACCUUGACAAGAAGUCGGACGCAAAAUGAUUUAUCUUUUCCAUCCAGUUUCUCAAUUAUCAUGAACAAAGCGGAACUGCUAAAGUUUGAAUGGCUGCACAGAGUAUGAUAUAGUUCUGCAGGCAUCAUAGACCAUUCCAAUCUCAAUAUCUGGAUCUUGAUUAUGUGAUAAACAGGAUGAAUCAAAUGAUCAAAAAUGGUAGAUAACUUACCACUUAGACUUCGAAGCCACUCCGAAUCUAGACAUGUACUUGAUACUUCACACAACUCUUAUAUUUCUUGAUAUUAAUUAAACUAUCAAACAAAUCCAAGAGGUGGAAAGUCCCUACUAUGCAGUAAUUACAAAGUAAAUCAAACUCAGCAACAAUCUGAUUCGUAACAUAUGAGCAGUGAAUAAACAGCGUUCCGUUCCAGUCUCCAUCAGUUCCAGUGAAUAAACAUUACUCGUAGCCAUUUUCUUCGGAUCAAUAUUUGCAGAGUUCAGAUCUUUGUUACUUUUUGCAUUGCAAAAUGGGCAAUGUGGACUCGAAAAAAAAAAAAAAAGGUAGAAGAGUCACAAACAAUCACAACUUACAGUGCUUCUUCUUUGCUCAGCAGCAACAGCCAAACCAAAGCAAUCAGAUCAAAUAUGAAGAUAGUAACCAUCAACAAUUUUGAAGCCAUGGGAGUAAGGCUUCUUCAGUUCACACUCUCCAGAUCUCCUCCUCACUCUUUUGUUCUAAAUGUACAACUCCCCCGCUACGUACCUAGCUAUCUAAAUAUACAACAAAAUUCAAUAUUUGAGUAAACAAGAAGAAGAGAAACCAACUGCUAAAAUAUCAUCUUACAGAGAGGAGAGAGACUUUUUACCAAAAAAUAAUGACAACCAACAGUUCGCCAGCAGCCCCUCUAUGUUAGCUUACUAACCACCAAAAACAACAGCCAAAAUUCUCCCUGAUAAUUUUAAUUAAUUUAUUUAUAUUUUAAUUUAUGGUGGAAAAGUAAUUGCUUCGGUCCGACGGUUACUGCUCCCUCGAGUAGUAACUGUAAUUGGCGGGGGAUGAUUGUGAUAGACAUUGAGUGUCGGUGACGCAAAACCUUUUUUGUGAAAGAUAAUCGGAUCGGACGGCUGAUGUAGCGGUGCGGUGUAAGUUGGAUCACAUGAUCUGCUCGUUGAUGGAGCCACCUGGCAGGCGGUUGACAGCGAAGCAUACUCUUCCUGUCGGUGGCCUUCUAUCCUUUGUCUUCUGCAUUUUGAGUGAUUUAGUAAUCUCUCUUUCUGUCAAUGUUCACUUGAGCUCUUUGAUAUAGAUGGUCUCUUUUUGGGGGAAAAUGAACGAUAUCAUACUACUGCUUGAAUGGAUGGAAUUCAAAAUGCAGGGGUCAUUACUGACUUCCAGUUUGAUUGGUGACAGAGAGACCUUUGCUCAUUAUUGGGAUAUUAUUUUUUAACCCAUGGAUAUCGUUCUUGAAGGAUCACAUUUGCUCCAUUCGAAGAGAAAGACGAAGCAAAAAAGAAAGGGGAAAAAAAAAUUUGCUGCCAAUAGAAUAAGAUUUACAGAGUAUACGAUAGGACGGCUCUUUCUUUCACUUUUCUAGUCGGCAAAAAUGUAAAAUCCUCUCAAACUAGGAAUUGUAGUAUAUUUUCUUAUUGAAAAAUAUUAUUUGUACUUCUAUUUUUGUUAAUUAUGCUUUUACUAUCAUUCUGAUCAUAUAGUUUUCAUUUAUGAGACUGUAUGAUAAAAUAAUGAUAGGAGUGUAAAUAACAAAAGAUGGAAUGCGGAUAACUUUUCCCUUCUUAUUUAAUAUAAUAAUCAACAUUUUUCAAAUGCAUCUUUUUCUUUUAUGCAAGAAUCUUUGAAGUGCUAAUGCUUUUGAAAGGUAUGUACUUUGUGGUUCAAAUUAAAUGUUUUUGUUGGGCUCUUUUUUUUUUUUGCCCCUGAUGAAGAUUCGUCCAUGGACUGAUGGACCUCCUUCAUUUUUUUUUUUAAAUCACCUAAAAGAAAUGUUAAACAAAUACUCCUAUUACUUGAAAUCUUUCUUUUUUUUAAUAAGGACUAAUAAUGAUUUUCUACUUAUCCUGUAAUUAUUCAAGCUUUAUCUCCUUGAUGAGUUGAAUCCAUACCUUUCAAUUACACUUGAAGUAUUUUACCAAGUACAACUAGUCCAUCCUUAGUUAUCCCUAUUACAUGAAAUUAGCUAUCCAAACGAAAGUGCCUCUACCAGCUACCAGUCUGCUACACAAAAUAAAUAAUAUAUCUAUAUUGAUUGUUUAACAAGAAAAUAUGGAAGGUCAAUAUCCUUGGAAAAAAUUAUUCAUCUUUUAAUGGAUUUCAAUCCUUAAAUUCCACUCCCCUUCAUCUACCAAAAAAAAAUAAAAAAAUAAAAAAUAAAAUCUAAAAAUUAGAUGAGUGUGUUUAUAUUUUAGGGAAAUUUGUCAAAUUGGUCCCUAACAUUUGCCAAAAAAAUUUUUUAGCCCCUAACAUUUAAAAUCAGCCAAAUUUGUCCCUAAUAUUUAAAUUAUGAUCCAUUUUGGUCUUAAUGCUCGUAUUUGCUCAUUUCUCCGACUGAAAAUAGCACGCCUCUCUCAUGUGGGUAUAUUUUCAAAGUCAAAAUCGGAAAACACACUUAAUUUCCUGUUGAGUAAAGUCAUUUUCCCUUCAUAUUUUCUCAUUGAAAAUUUGAAGAAAAAGCUGACAUAUAAAACACAUUGGUAAAAAAAAACUUAUUACAUAACUCUCAGUUCGGGGCAAAAGAGGGGAAAGAGGGCGGCACUGUUGUUGCAGCUAGUAAUGUGAGUCAGGCUCAAUUAGAGCCCUAGGAGGCAGAGACAAAUCUAGCCAAGGCUCCAAAGCUUGGAUUUUUUAUGACAGUGGCUGUAUUGGUGGUUAGAUGGAGCCCUAUGAAGUGAUAAGGGGGUGGCCAUGUUGAUUGAGAAGAUGGGGCCAAAUGAAGUUGGAAAGUUGGUUGAGGAAACAUCUAACAUCCCUGGCCGAUAUUGUCUCACAGUUAGCCGUCCCAUGGGGCCGUAGGUUUUGUUCCUAGCGGUGUUGAAUAACACAACAAGCUAAUGCCUUACCAAAAGGCCUCGACCAAGUGGGGGACAUCACAACAGGUUAUUAAAGCAGCCCAGGACUUCCUCCCUUAGCCGAUGUGGGAUCAUUACAAAACAAGGGCUGGGUCAAUUGCAUGCUAGUGGGGACGGAACGAGAAUUGCGAGUGGAAAGGGAGAGGGAAGGGAGGAAGAUGAGGAUAGAGGUGUGGGAAGUGAUGCGGCGAGGCUAGAGGUGGUAGGAGGUGAGGGGGGUAGCGGCUAUCGAUGCUGGUGGUUAUUUUGCGGUGGCAGUGGAGAAAGUUUUGAACAUUGUCUCUACUACUGGCUUGGCAAGUGUGACAUAUUUGACCAACAAGUACUUGGAUCAAAAUGUCAGCUUCUUCUUCACAUUUUCUUGUUAUUCUUCCUCCAUUACACAGCUGUCUAGUUGCAGCUGCGUUUUUCCUCUUCAAUUUCAUUCUUUUAGUGAGGCAAUUAGGACACAAAUAGGUAAAUAUGAAGGAAAGAUGGCUUUACUCAACUAGAAAUAAAGUGUAUUUUUCGGUUUUGCCCUUGAAAAUAUACCCACGUAAGAGAGCGCGUGCGCCUUUCGAGGUUAAAUUACCUGGUCUUGGAACAGCCAUUCAGGUCCCAAGAUCCAGGGUUCGAACCUCUCUUAACGCUUGGGUGCUCUUGGGGGGCGGAGCACUUCAGGUGCAGGGUGAUUAGUCUGGCAAAGUUGAGAUGCACCCUGUAUUGACAAAAAAAAAAAAAAAAGAGGCAUACUAUUUUUAGUCGGAGAAAUAAACAAAUACGAGCAUUAGGACCAAAAUGGAUCAUAAUUUAAAUAUUAGGGACAAUUCUGACUGAUUUUAAAUGUUAGGGACUAAAAAAGUUUUUUUGAAAAAUGUUAGAGACCAAUUUGGCAAAUUCCCCUAUAUUUUAAUAUCGUAAUCAACUUACGGAUGAUAAGUAAACUUCAACCACCACUUAAAGCUACACCACAUUCUUGCCAACACAGCCUUUUUUCUUCUUCAUUUUUUGUUUUUUUUUUCCGGCAACACACUUUACAUUAGAUUAAAAAAGUAAAUUGCUGUUUAACUGGAGAAAAGGGUCAUGGUAAAGCAGUUGGAAGAAUUCCUUGUUGAUAGUUGAUGAGCGAAAUCUGAUGCAAAUUUCUCAAAAUCUGAAAAGCAAGAGAAAACCCCUUCGACGUCCAAACUCCCAGUCUCCCACGCUGCACCCCUCCCUUCCCCCUCUUCUUGUCGGCCAAUUUGGAUGCUACUACAAUUUUGCCGAAUCCCAUUAACCCCUUAAUUUCUUUUCUUUUUCUUUGUUGUUGGAUUUUUCUUUUUCUUUUUCCUUUUCAUUUUUAUCAAUUGCAGGUAGAAGGAGGAGGAGAAGGAUUCGAGCCCCUGAUUGGAGACAUGGGUUCUUCCUCUAAGAGGAAAUCUGCCAAAAAGAAAAGUUCCAAACUUUCUUCUCAGGUAGCAGUAUCGAGAAUCUGCUAUGUGACUUUUAUUUGUUUCUGAUAAAUUUUUUGCUAUAUUUGUGCUGGAUUCUCUAUUUAUUUCAUGUAUUGUGUUGGGUUUAUCUUGGUUGUUCUUCAAUGUUGUUUCAAUAAACAGGCCUGCUCAGACAUAUUGAGAAUAAUUAAUGGAAAAAAUUGGAACUUUAAGCCAUUAGCUUAGCUUAGGGCGCAUUUAAAGUGGCCAUUCUGAAAGUGCGAUAUGAACAAUUGAAACUUUAAGGCAUUAAUUUGGUUUCUGUAUUGAACUUGAAAUGGCUGUUAUUUCCUGUCAAUUGACUUUAGUAUCUGUAUUCUGAUUAUUAAAAGCAAUCAAAUACUUUUUAUAAUCUUCUUGUUUACUUGCAACAAAUACUUCUAAACGUCGUAAACAUGUCUCAGUUUCUUGCCUUUCUGUAUAUCUUAUGUGGUUAGGCUCGCAAGAUGAAGAAGAGUGGGAGGACUAAAUCCAAGAAACUUGGUCGCCGUCAUGAUUCCAGUACUGAUGAUUCCAUGAGUUCAGAUUCCAUUUCCUCACCUGGUAAUGAUUCUUAUGCUUCAAAUUCUGAUGAUGACUCCAUGAGUUCCGCAUCUAUAUCUCGGUCCAGUUCAAAGGAUUCUUACAGGAGAAGGAAAAACAAAUCGCGCUCACGAGGUAAACUAAAGAAGACCAGAAAGCGAGCUCGAAGGAGAUCUUCCAGCAGAGACAAUCGUAAGAAAUUAGCUCCCAUGAAAAAAAGAAAAAGGUCAAGAAAGGAUAGUGAUUCUAAGACAAGAAAGAAAUACGGCAGAAAGAAACGUAGGAGGGAUUCAAGUGCUAGUCCCACAAGCAGCAAUUCACACAGCUGCUCUACUUGCAAAGGUGGUAAUAGUGACAGUGAGGAGAGCGAACGUGAGAGCGUUUGGAGCAGGCCUAGAGAAAAUAAGAGAGAUUUAAGCAAGGACAAACGUAGAACCAAACUUAGCUUCCGUAGGUCCCCAAGUCAUUCUUCACACAGUAGGUCUAAGGAUCAAAGUGGUAGUGUUAGUUACAGUGAGGAAAAGUUUCUGAAUGAGAACAAUUCCCGGCGUUUGAGAUCUGUUAUAACAUUUGUUGAGCAGAGGAGUGAGGGAGAAGGGAACGAAUGGAAGAAGGAUCUACAGAAUGAAGAAAUUGUCUAUGAUAAUGACGAUUAUCCUUCCAGAAGCAGUAGUGGUGGGGGAAGCAAAAAGGAAUCAACUCCUCGUUCACCUAUUGCAUUUGAUGUUGAGAAACGGACAGAAAGUCCUAUAUUUGUUUCUGAACAUGAGGUGACUGAACUUUCAGGAAGUGUAAAUGAUGCGCAUGACAUGAAUGAGUUUGCGACACGCAGUUCUGCAAAGGAAAAUGGGAAUUACACUCCCCUUGUGGGUGCUGGUUCAGGGGGUGAUGAUCUGGAAGCAAUUUUGAGGCAGAAAGCUUUGCAGAAUUUGAACAAGUUCCGAGGAGGACAUAAAAGUAAUACAAAGCCUACUUUGGAUCAGAAAAAUAAGGAUGAUGGCAAUGUUAAUGCAUCAUCCACUUCCACAGCAGCGGUUGAAAGGGUUGUCCUUGACAGCGGACACACUGAAAAGGUUUAUGGAAUUGUGAAACAGAAUAAUGAUCAUCCAGCUGAUGGGUCGGGACUCUCUGGGAAUCCCAAGGAGGACGGCCUGAAUAGUGGAAAUCCUGUUGUUGGUAAAUCUGUAUCUGGAACCUCACCAUUUAGGGGAAGAUCUUCAGGCUUGGACAUGCGGCAUCAAGCCACAGCAUCAGGAGCAUCUCCAGAUAAAAUUCUGAGAGAAAUUAAGAGUGAAGGGAAGACUACAGCUACAGUACAAACUACAUCCGUGGCUGGAAACUCGUCAUUUUGGGAAAGUUCUUCAGGCUUGGACACACCCAAUAAAACUACGACAUCAGUUGCAUCUCCAGAAAAAUUUCUGAUGGAAACUGAAAGCGACAGGAAGACUGAGCUUAAAAUAACUCAACCAUUGUCUCCUAGCGUGGGCAUUAAUAAAGGUUCUGCUUGUAGCUCUGCGACUGUAGAACCAGCUUUAUCUGCUACUUCAGGAGGGCAAAGUUUGAACAAUCAGAAAGAUGAAGCUAAGGAUGGCGGACAGUAUCAGCAGAAGACGAUGUCUGUGAUGAGAGGCGGGGAAAUGGUACAGGUAGGAGCUUUCUAAAGUAUCAUUAAUAACGUAUUUACUGAAAUUUCCAAUUUGUAAAUGUUGUGUCGAGUUCUGCUUUACUUGCUAGGGAGUUUGACAUUUGGAACCAUGUUCCCAGGUAAACUACAAGGUCUACAUUCCUCAAAGAGCUCCCGCUCUUGCCAGGAGACAACUCAAGCGGUGAUUUUGGAGGGCAGGGGACUUGGUGUGGACAACUGGGAUUUUGGUAGUAGUUGGAUCCAGAAUCUGUAAUUGAUUGCUAGUUGAAAGGAACCUUGACUGGUUAUAAAGUGAAGGCCGAUGGAUGCCAUAUCAGUUGAUCAUACUCUUUGAAUAACUGGAUGUUUAUCAACACCUGACAGCUCAUUAAUAAGUUCUAAAAUUCAGUACAAUUUUGCAUUUGAAUUGGAAUACACCUGUCUUGGUAAAAUGAUGUCAAGAGAUUGGUUGGCCAUUGUUUGACAAGGUAAUUGCUUCCGCAGAUAAUAUAAUAGCCACCUUUUUCCUUUAAAAGAAUUAGCUAAAUUUUAUAUAUGUAUGUAUGUAUAUAAUCACUUGCUCAUCAUGUCCACUGUGCUUAAUUAUUCUGGAUGGGCUGCAUUUUGAACAUGACAUUAACCAAGAUUUAUUUUCUUAAAACCAGCUAGGCAAGCCCAAUCAUCCAUCUUUGACACUUUAAUAUCUUCCAAGAAUGGUGAGUACCGUUGGAUGAUGCGCGGAACCUGCAUCAAGAAUUUUAAAUAAUUUAAUCAGGGAAACUUUUGAAAUGUGGUUCUUCAUCGAAGAACGGUAAUAUGGUAGACAAGGAUGAUAAACCAUUAAUAGAUUUAUUAGUUUGAUAAUCUUCUGGAAUACCAGCGUACUGUAUGUGGACAUGACACAGCUUUACUUACAAUUUGCUUUAGAAUACGUUGGUCACUGCACUACUUGGACAACAUUUAGGAUAAUAGCCUCUCUUAGUCAUGUUAAGCUAAUCAUCUAGCAAGGUAUUAUCUACAAUCAGUUGCAUCCUAAGACGUACCUGCUCAGAUAUGAUACCCGAUAGACCCACUGUGGCUCCAGGCUUUGCAUGGGAGACAAUUUGGUCAGCCAAAUCUAGCAGAGGAUUCAGCAGUAUAUUUGCAAUAACAACAUGAAACUUCUCUGUCUCGGUGAAAACUCCUUUAUCAUUUAAAUGCUGCCUGUCUGUAGGUUUACUUACAAUUUCGUGUGUAAAAGUAGCACUGCCUGUACUAGGAACCAGACUUAAAAACAGUUUUUCAGGCUGUAUGUUAUUCAAAGCAGCAUUGUGUUGAGCAGCUGUAAUUGCUUGGGGGUCUAUAUCCAGCCCAGCUGAAAAAGCUGCACCAAACUGCAUUCAUGAUCAAAAUUUAAAGAUCAGAACCCAGAAUCAAGUCAACAUAGAAGCAAGGUCGGAUUUAAGAAGUACUGCAAAUAAGAAUCCAAUGAAUUGCUCAAGAUGAUACUGUCAUGAACUUUGAUACCUGGACUACCAAUUCAGUUGCAACAGAACACAACAAAUUCAAGUACUAACUUCGAUAUUCAUCUUAGGUUCAGCACCAUCCUCCUAUGUAAGCAUUAAACAGAAAGAUUUGAGUACCUUAAUUGCUGCAAUAGCGAGGAUACCAGACCCUGUCCCAUAAUCCAAGAAAACUUCUCCUCCUUUUAUUACAUCAUAGAGCAGCAUUAGGCAUAACUUAGUUGUAGGAUGAUCCCCGGUCCCAAAUGCUAAUCCAGGGUUUAGAAUUAUAUUAGUUGCUUGAAGAUCCUGCAAAUUUAAGCAUUCAAAAUUUCGAGCGAGUAUGCAAGUGUAGAUCAAUAGUUCUUAGUCAGACUUGGGGGGAGAAUAAGACAAUUUGAGAGUCUUGCUUCAACCAGAAAAUUCAUCUUUUUAGACCAAAGUCAACACCACAAAAAUCAUAUAGUGAAUCCUCAUAUGCAGAAAGAAUAGCUCAAUGGACAUUAAAUUAGCGGCUGAGUAAGAAAUAUGAUUGGAACUUGUAACUAUGAUUAACCAUUUUAAGGUCUCAGUAAACAACACUAAUUCCACAAAGACGAAAUGCUAGUUCCUGAAAGAUGUUAAUGUUAAUGGAACCUCAAAAGGGAACAGAAUAAUCAUACUGGGGGCUUUCUCCACUCAGGCACGAUCCAAAUUCCUUCAAUAACUUCUACAGGAUGAAAUGAUUCCUGCAAGACAGACAAUAUCCAAGAAAUUAUUGUGUUAGAAAUUCAGCUAUAAACUGGGUAAAACAAACUGGUAUACAGACCACCAAAAUCCACAUUAACCCUCUAAAAUGUAGGGUAAAAGUAGGAUAAAAAGGCCUCUCAGAUACAUUACACAUGCAGAAUCAACAACUCCUCAUUCUCCCGGAAUUUAGCUAUCCUAGGUAAAACUGCGAGAUGCUGUUUAAUCUUGACAUUAUUGUCAUUUCACUUGUCUUUAUAAAGCAAAGAAGCAUUAACCUGACUUUCCUUAAUCCAAUCAGUGUGGUCAUGCAUCACUACAUCAUAACUUGGUAUCUCUUUCAAGCCUAUGGAGUCAACAGCAAGUGAUAUGCUUUCCUUCACAUCCUGACUUACAGAGAAUAUGGAACUGAUGCAAAUCUGCAGAAAUUUUAAGGAGAUACCAUUGAGCUACAGUUAGAGCAUAUUAGUGAACAAGCUGCAUCAGAAAAAUAUCAAAUGAGCUAACUCUUACAAAAUCAGUAAGAUAAUACAAUCAAACCUACCCAAGUAAUCGUAAAUUCCAAGUAGAACUGGCUAACAGUUGAGACAUGGUCUCCAAAAAAGGAACCUUUCAAAGAACAUGGUUAGCAUUUUGUAGCUCUAUUUGUUCAAUUACUUUAAGAGCAUAGAAACAAUUUACAUAGUAACCACUUUCGUGUUUCUGAUGCUCUUCUACACAAUCUAGAACACAAUACAAAAAGUAAAAUAUUACAUUUCAAAACCAAAUAAAGCAUGAGAGAAUGAAGAAAUUGGCUUUCUACCUCAUCACCAACUUCACUAUCAUCAUCAUGUUCAUCAAUGCUGGUAGAGUUGGCUCCAAAACAUAAAAGGGCUUCUGAAAGCAUAUCCUGACCAAAGAACAGAAGCCAUGUAUAUUGAAGUAAUUCUUUCAACAAAACUUAUCCAAAUAGGGCAAUUAUAACUACAAGUUUUUUUGUUUUUUAUCAUCCUGCCUCGUAAAAGCUUGCGUUGCAUUAUUAAUCAUUUUCCUGUAAUGAAAAAUAGCUGUAACCUGCAAAAUUAAUCAAAUUAAUUACGAAAAAAGAAACCCAUAAAACCCAAAGCAGUUAAUUCUACUAGCAUGCAUCUGAUAUCUAACUAUACAGCAAUAAAAACAGACACACACACACACAGUGUUACUGAGUUUAGCUAAAAGUAUGGGCUAAAAAUUAGAACUUAUUAGCCUUUGAAAGUAAACGUCUCAUUUUUUGCCGCAGCACAUAUACAUGCACACGUAUAGGUAAGGGGAAAGAGCUCACUGCAACAUUUUUCUGGCAGCAAAUGGUCACAGAAAGGUAAGGAGAAGUAUAAGAAUCGGUCGGUAAAGUCUCCAGAGAAGAAGAAGAGCGUGAGGUUGAAAAAGUAGCAGUCUUUGAAGCCAGCUGGCUUAAAAGUUUGUAUCUUUCUGAGAAAAAGAACACUGAGUCUGAGAAGCGGCUUUGCCCAACGAUACCCCGGGUUCGGUGGCCGAAAAUAAGGGCAGUGGCGGUGGAGGCGGCGGCGGCAGCUGUGGAGGUGCAGAGGAGGUGCUUGAAGAAAUGACUGCGCAGAGAAUUGAUUACCAGUGACAUUUUUUUUUGUUAUGUUUUCUUAGGAAUUAGCAGUUUCCUUACAUUCUUAGGAAUUACGUGACAUUUUUAGUUGAAGAAGUGUACGGGAAACAACAAAUAAAUAAAAGAGUAGAACUUUUUGGCAGAUUUCUUUAUUUAUUUAUUUUUUUUAGAGUUUAUAUCUUACCACAAUUUUCACAAACGCUCUUCUCUUUGGUGGGUGAACCCUUUUUUUUUUUUUUCUUUUUUCUGUCUUCUCCUUCUUCUUUGUGAGGUUAGAAAAGCUAUAUGAUCCCAAUUUAGUAGUAUUACAUUAUCAAAAUUUUGCUAUGGUUCGAAUUUAUUGUACAAAAUGAUUGGUAAAACUAGAUAAGGUUCUCAUAAUAAGUCUUUAAUAACCGUGCUCAUAAACAAAAGUCAACUGAAGUUUCCUUAGGGAAGUAGACUAAAAAAAAACUUUAGGCAAAAGGGCAAAAGUCCAAUAGAUAAUUUGUUUUCUCAUGUAUUUUCACAGAUUUUAGUAAUACGAAUUUAUUGCUUUUCCGUCUUUUACUUCGCAAUAACUUUCAACAAAAGAAAAGAAAUAGUCAUUGUAAUUCUACUUCAAUAUAAUUUCACCAUCAAAAUCUACGUUAUAGGAGCAUUUUUUUUAAUGUUAUAACAGAAAUAAUGCAAAUUAUUUGUUCAAGAAAAGAAUAAUGCAAACAAAUUUGAGAUUUCUUGAAAACCAAUUUUACAAAUACCAACUGAAUUUAAAACCAAAAAUUGAGAAACAUAUUUUGAGAAAAGUGGGGGAAAAAGAAAGGGAUAAUUUCAGAAAUCUCCCCUGAGAUUUUUAAUAAUUUCACUUGGCUCCCUUAAGACUUCAAAAAUUAUACUUACCUCCCUUGUCCAUUUAAAAUGAUAAUACUAAUCUUAAUAUUUUUAAUAAAACUCUCUUGUUGCCAUGUUUAUGCAAAUGAUGGAUUUUAUAAUUUUUUACCAUUUUCCUUGUUAUUCAUUUCUCUUAUGUUUCAUUAGAAGUAUAAAAAAACUAUCAAUAUUAUUCCUAAUAUCUAUCCAAAUUAAACGUUAAACUAGUAAUAUUUUUUUAUAACUUUUAAUAUCCUCCAAUUUUUUUGUAGCUCUUUUUUUUGGGUAUCAAAAUCAAGGAUAAGUCAAUAAUGAUUAAAAACAAAUACCCCAAAAUCAUUACCAAAUUAUGAUAGUUCCACCACUAAACUAGUCCAUAAAUUUUUAUUAAAAAAGAAAUCCUUAAACUUUAAAAGAAACAAAAUAGCACUUUCUUCUCUAUCUUAAAAAGAAUUUAUAUUUUCAAUAAAGUCCUAUGAAAAAUACCCUAUUAUAGCAAAAGAUUUAUUGUUAUAGUUGAUUAUUAAAUAACAAAUAUUAGCAUGAAAAUCUUGAUACUUUUUUCCUUUAGAAGAACAGAUUGAACUUUAUAAGAUAAGGGCAUUUUAGGGUAUUCAUUAAAAUUUUUGCUCUAUUUUAAAGUGUGGUUACUAAAGUGUCAAAUUAAGGGAGAUAAAUGUAAUUUUUAAAACAUCAAGAGAACUAAGUAAAAUAGUAAGAAACCUCAAGGGAGGUUCCUGAAAUUAUCCCAAAAAGAAAAGAACGAGUGACCAUCGAGAGAAUGGGUCAAUCCUGUCUGAUUUGUUUCCCACCAACCAAAUCACAAGAUACAAAUUCCCUCGAGGAAAGAGAGAGAUAAAGAAAAUGGUAUUCUCCUCCAACCCAUUAGCUCUGAGCGUACCCGACCCGGAUUUUGAGUCUUGGCUCCGAAACAAAGGCUACCUCGAAAUCCUCGACCAACGCACCUCCGACCUCCACCGUCUUUCCACCUCCACUUCCGCCGCCGCCGCCGUACGAUCCUCCCCCUCUUCCUCCUCCUCCAUCACCAUCGCCACCACCACCACCAUCAUCCCCUAUGGCCUCUUUAUCUCCCUCUUUUCCCACUUAAAAACUCUUUUCUCUCUCCUCACUCUCAACCCCUUCUCUAAGCUCACCUCCGACGACUUUUCCGGCGACACCCCUUCUUGGACCAACGCUUUUAUUGGCUCCUUCAACUCCUACUCCUUCCCCACCUCGCCUGCCCAGGCCCGCCUUCGAGCCCACGAGAAUGUUAAACGCUUUGCUCGCAAUUAUGCCUCCCUCUUCAUCCUCUUCUUCGCUUGCUCUCUGUAAAUUUCUGAACUCACCCGCUAUCUUCAUUAGCUUACUUUUUUCUUUCUUUGUCUCAAAACUCAAAAAAAAAUUUCCAAUUUAAGUUGUUAGUUUUGAUUAUUUCUUAUAGUUAUUCUUUGCAUGGGGAUAAUGAUUUUGUCUUUGCUGUUUGUUGGAAACGGAGGAAUUCAUUCUUUUCCCGUUUAGUCACUGAUAUUUUGUUUACUCGAAGCUAAUGAACAAAUCAAAGCUCGUUAGUUGUGGAAAGAUAUGAGGUGAACUUCAUCAAACUAGGAAGAAUUCUUUAGACAACUCAAUAUGACUAAUUGAUUUUUGGAGGAAUAGGAUAACGUAGUAGAAUGUUGAGUUAGAUCAAAAAAUGUGGAAAAUGUGUAAAUUUUAAGGUUGUUUGUGCUGUUAGUGGAUUGAUGGAUUUCAAGAUGCUUUUGUAUUUUCUCCCGGUUGACAUUUCUAGGUGACCUGUUACCUAUGUGUGUGAUUUUGGGGUAGUAUUUUAUUCCUUUUAUGAUUUUGUUUCGGUAAUAGGUAUCAGAUGCCGCUUGCUCUUGUGGGGUUGAUAGCGUGCUUGGCACUUUGGGAUGUGUUCAGAUAUUGUGGUGAUCGAUGGCAACUAGACCAAUAUCCUGUUUUUAGACAGACCUUGGUUCGCAUUGCACAAUGUAGUAAGUUUUGACCUUAUUAAAUUCAAUUCUGUGUUUUUCUUCUUGUGGCAUUUUUUGCUUGGAGAUGCAUAAGUAUCUUGUUGCAUAUUUCGUUAGGAGAUGAUAAGCAUAAUGCAGGAACGAAUAAUUGACUAAUGUUUGGCAAUUGAGGAAUAUGUAUUGAAAUGUUCAUGACUAAUUAAGCAGAAUUGAUUGGUUUGGAAACCGUUCUUUUCUUAAUGAAGUUCAGUGAGUUCAUGAUGCCUCCUUAAAGCAUAUCAUUCUUAGGCUCUCUCUGCAAGUCAAAGUAUGCCUUCUUAAUUUUGUUAGUUUCUAGCUCCUUGGAUUAUUUCGUCUUCCAGAAUAUUUUAAAGCCUUUUUAGCUAGACACCCGCCCCUGGGGGGGAGGGAGGGGGGGCAAGGAAUAUCUAAUGCAUCAUCCUCUCUGGACAUUGUGGGGCUUGAUGGACAGCAUUAGUGGUGGAUGCCAAACCUUAACUCGGCUCAUUCUCAUCUUACCUCUUUUUAUCUCUCAUUAGUCAGUGGGCUCAUGAUAAUUAUCCUAUUCCUGAGAAAAUUGUUUCUUGGGAUUAGGAUAAGUCAUAAGUAAACAGGCUAAUUACAUUAGGUAAACAGCUUGUAGGGCUCUUCCUUUUUGACCCUCUAAUUCUUCCCCCUCAACUUCUUCAUGAUCCCGCAGUUCUUGCUCUUGCUGAGGCCUUUGGGAAGUUCAAUGAAGUUUUUUCUCCUUGUCUGUGUCUCCAAAUCUACUUUUACUGCUUGAUAAUGUCCCCAGUUAGCGCAAGAUUUGCUACACGUUUUGCAGAUUGCAGGACUUAAUUGAGAUUGAGCCUUUUUGUAUAAUUUGCUUUGUCUUGACUGGAGGAGGACAAAACAAUUACUGUUCUUAAGAAAUGCUGAGUUGAUUAACUAAUUUUUGACAAAAGUCUUGCACUGUUCUACGUGGUAUAGAUCAUUUCCCAGUUUGUCAUGUUUCAAGGCUCUUAGUAUUUCAGGUCACAUUUGCUCUAGUUGAUGAUUCUUAGCAAUUUUACAUUCAUGUAACUACUAACUCUCUCGGAUGCUUAUCAACUUAACUGUGCCUUCAAAACGUUAACGUUCCAUUGACUUUUGCAGCAACUGCAGUUAUUCUAUUCUUCUCCAAUGUUCAAGUAACCCUCCUAUGCGCUCUUAGUGUAAGUUAUGCAGGUAAGGCAUUAGUUCUUCUGCUUAGCAAUUUUUAUAUUCAAACUGCUUUUUCCUUUCAUGAAACAGAACUUUGUAGCGACUCCAAAAUCUGAUCCCCUCCUUAACAUGAUUGCAGUCUUGGUUUUGCAUGCUUCGUUAAGAAAACUUACCCCAGGAAAACAAUCUACGCCAAGUGACAGAAACAGGAGCAGCAGUAAAAGAUGAGGAGAAACGAUGAAGUGUUGAAGAUUAUUGUCUGUACAUUGUAGCUGGCCAGACUGCCCGGAUCAUAUCUGCUUGCUGAACCUAUUAGCUAUAUGUCCCACAGAUACUAGCGUCCAAUUUUAUCAAAUCACAGACUAGGUUCAGUUCAUCUGUUCUUUUCUGCCUUUCUCUUCCCACGGGUACUUAGUUAUUGACUAGUUUAUCGUAGAAAGACGAAAAUGGAGCCUUUUGUCAGUCAUUUCCAUUCCCAUUAUAACAACUUCUUUUAGGGGGUGCUUGUUUUAUAAAUUGGAAUAGGAAAUGGAAAUGAAAUCAUAGACUCCGGUUUUGGAAUUAAACUUUUUAUUCAAAUAUCUAGUUUGGUUCACAUAUUGGAAUUAGCAUCAUUCCAAUUCCCGAUGCUUGGUUUGAUAAGUGUUUCGGAAUUAAAUGCAAUCAAAUUCCAAAUUUACCUUUGAUAUAACAAUUCUUAUAAAAUAAAGAGAUAAUUGCAGGAACCUCCCUUAUAAGAACAGAGUACUCAUUUUUUCAUAAACAAAUUUAUUUAUCGGAUAAAAUAAAAAUAAACUUGUUUUUCAAUAAAACACCAGCUCUUUAUGGCUUUCUUUCAUUAUAAGAACAGAGUUUUCAUUUUUUCAUAAAUAAAUUUAUUUAUCGGAUAAAAUAAAAAUAAAUCCGUUCUCCAAUAAAAUACUAGCUUCUUAUGGCUUUUCUUUAUAAGUUGUCCAUUUUUCCAUUUUUUCAUAAGCUAAUUUAUUAGUUGGAUAAAAUCAGAAUAAUGUUAAAUCACAAAACCUACAAAGUCUUGGAUUUGCGUUUCCAAUCUGUAAUUACAGAUUUAUUGCAGAUUUGGGUUUCCUAUUCUCAUCUAAUGACAUAACCCACAGCUCAAACGACUGCUUCAUAUUAUUCCAACUAUGUCACAUCAUCCAAUCGGCGAAAAAAUCCAUCAAUCCUUGAACAUCCAGGGUCUGCGAUAGUGCUUGCAAUCGAGAACCCGCCCAUUGGUUGAAAAUCCCAAGCGGCAUUAGGGAGGAGGAAUUCUCACUGAGGGAUGGCGGGCAAGGGUUCCGCUGGUUCUGAUUGUAAAGCGGAUUGCCGGAGGCCGAGUUAGGAGGCAACGACAUCGCAGUGGAGGUGAUAGUGGUGGUGGUUUGCGAUGGAGAUAUUGGCGGAGGUGUUUCGGCGAGUUGAGCUUUCUGGAAAAGAAACGAAAAAGUGGAAUUGGAUUUGAAUACGGUGAAGUCAUGGUGGUGGAGAGAAAGAGCGGAUAGAAUAGUCAAUGUUGUCCAAAACCUCCCAAUUUGCUCGGGAAUAAUUUUUUAGAAAUGAUUCCAAAAAUUGCAUUCCACUAGACUUAACCCAAGUAAUAAAUAAGUACUUUAUUCCAUUCUUUGAUUCCCAAACCCUUUUAACCAAGUAGCCCCUUACUGAUUUAAAGUACAGCAAGUCUGGUACAGGGUUCUUGCCGCUCGGCUUGACUGCUGAGAUAAAACCAACGAGAAGAUGUUCCUUAAAUAGUUUCACAUGUACAGUUGUUGCCAGCCUCGAGAUGAGUAAGAAGCAUCAGGCUUAUGACAGCCACAUUUCUCCAAUUCCAAUUGCCAUUACAGACUAUAUCAAUCACUAAGAAUCAGCAUAGAAAAAGCACUUGAGAACCAAGACAAUCAUCAAUCUACUUUAAAGCAGAACAAAAAAGACCAUAGCAGAAUUUUAAGACCAAUUAUAACUUCACGCAUCAUAUGUACAUAUAAGCCAUUUCCAGAGCUUGUCUUAGAUUUGUUCUCCAUUCUGGAAAAGAAAUAUAACGUAAAUAAGCCUAUCUCAGAUUUCUCCACCAUUCUGGAAAAGGAAAUAUAAUGUGGAUAGGUAGCUUCGGCAAAUUCACUAGCAGCACCGUGAAAAAUCAUCAAGCUUGUUAAUGGCCAUGACAUCCAACGGCCAUUGGUGAAGGCCAUUAAUGACCUGGACGUCCAAAGGCCAUCAAUGGUGGCAGGUAUUUAAUUGCUUUCUUAGUAAUAGCACUGUCAAAAGAUACAUCACAAAAUGUGUACCAAAUGAUUGUCUCAAUAAAUACAAAAUUUACUAAUGUUACAUCUAUAUGGACACCUCAACCUUCGCUCAAAACAAACUAAGAAAAGAACACCAAAAGUUUGUUGAACAGGGAAAGGAAAACAUGAAUAGGACACUAUAAAUAAUGAGUUUCUCUAAAUCCUAUGUACAUUGAAUUAAAACUAAUCCAAAUACAAGCACAGAAGUACAGACACAAACUAUCUGGCCCUGGCCCUCAUCUUUAAUUACUUAAAUCCCGGGAGACAUGGCCUUGCCAUCUGCAAUUGAAAAGGUACAUUUCGAAUCAGACGAGUAUUAUGACGACGACGAUGAUGAUGAUGAUCUACAACGACAGUAAAAACCAUUGCAAUCUUUUAUAUUGCUGUGGUGCAAAUCCUCACCAUCAUGCAAAAGGACGGUUUUACAAAAAUUGCAGCUCACAAACCGCACUUACAUUUCCAUAUUGUUGUUUAAGCUCAUUGCUCAAUGAUUGUAAUCAUUGUUGUCACUCAAAUCAAAAAUAUUUUGUGGAUAAUCCCAUUUUACAGUAGCCAUGGAAAUCCAAAAACAUGUGCCGCAUUGUUUGAAUCAUAAAAAACACGCACCUAGUCUUCUAUUCAAUCGCGAUGAUAAAUUCUUAUAGGCCAAAAAAUUUCACUGACCAACCUUGAGAGCAAGAACCGUGCAAGGGGGCUCAAAUUACUGUUUGAAUGCAUGUCCUUGCUUUGAGGCUUUUUCUUGCUGUCAGCUUCUGCCUUCGUACUCUCUGCUUCUGCCUUUCCCUUGCUAAAUAUUCGAGCUGCAAGGUCUUGCAGGUCUUUCAGUGAAGAAUCUUUUGAACUACAAAGAUAUAUCUUGAUCUUUAAACCAAACAUCACAAAAUGAAGAUUUUAUUCUAAGCAAAAAGAUGAAAAGAAAAUAUAUGAACCUUGCCAGUCGCUGUAGUAAUCUUGUCACAAGAAGUUCGCAAGACCCAGGCUUGGAGCGUUCAAUAUCCAUAAAAGAGUUGGCCAAUGUCCGCAUCAUCAACCUUUCCGAAUCAUCAGUAAUCACCUACAUAGGAUCAUACAUAUGUUAAUAUAAAUGUUUCACUCAGUAAUAAAUUUAUUUCAUGCUCAUGUUCUCACCAUGUGGCAGAGAAAACAAAAAAGAACUAAAAAAAAAUUACACUCUUACAAUACAUAGUCAAAGGCAUGUGGUGAUGAACACUCCCAAGUGGGAAAAAAAGCAUGCAGAUAAUGUUUCCCCAUUUCAGCAUCACGUACACUCAAAUGACUCAUCAAGGUCAAAAACUAGGUUUCCACAGAAUGGCCUUUUGGGUUGAAUUCCCAGAAAUAAAACAGAGAUAAAGAGAAGAAAUGCAGUUUGGCCAGAAAAGAGGUUUUGCCAAAUUAUAAAUCAAAUUUUGAUGGUGAGCACUACAGAAUUAAAUUUCUUAUUGAUGCAAAUUUUCUGGAGUAUGAGAUAUUGUAUGACAUGAGCACCAGAUAACUCUGUGAUCACGUUGUUGGUUCAGCUUUGACAGAAAAUUUAGGCUAAUCCUGUAACAAAGAUGUUUGUCCUUAAAAAACUAAAUCCAUGAGGACCUAGGAAUGUUGGAAACCAUUUAGAUAUGCCCAAAACCAAUUUCGUAACUACAUUAUUUUCUCAAUGGCUAUAUGACUAGAAAGAAAUUUUGCAAGAAAAAUAUAACACCAAAGCAUAAUGCUUAAAAAAAUUAAUUGAGUUUGCACAAGACUUCAGAUCUCUCAAUCAGAAGACAAGAUUUUAUGUCUAAACAUCCACUGAGAAUAUACAAAAAUGUGGAGUCGUAUAUGUUCAAAUAAUAAACACCAAGUUAAUAGAAUUAAUUUGAUUUUCAAAGUUAAACAGCAUAUCAAAAAGCCUCACAAAUGAUCAUUAAAGUAUAUUCUAAUCGAUGAAGAUCUGGCAUGUCCUGUAAUUAUCUUAAAAAUGCAAACCUCUUUUAAUGAAGGAAUGAGUAGAAUUGACAAUGGGGCAGAAGAAGAUGCAGCAGAACUACGUGCAGCAUCUUCUUCGUCACUUGUUUGGUGUGACCUGGGAAGUGCUUUCUGUGCAUCAAGGUAUUCUUCGGUAUGUCUGCAAGUUGAUGUUCAAGUUCCAAGUAGCAACACAAACACACAGUAGGAACAAGAUUAGUCAGGCACAAUAUUUCAGCCAGUGUCAAAACCAAAAGAUUGUACCCAAUAUGGAAGGAGCAGACCAAACAUACGAUGUACCUAGAUAAAUCAGAACUAGAUUGUUCUCUUCUUUUACUUUCUUGUUCAUCUCUGUUGGCCUUGCCUAACAUGGACCUUUCUCUCAUAUUUCCCUUCUUUAACCCCGCUUGAAUAGCAGCUUUGGCCUAAAUAACAUAACAGACAAUUAAGCUUUGGCAUACAACUCAUGAAGAUGAUGAUGCAACAGACAUUAGGCAAAUAAUUCUGGCAAUCAAGAUACCUUGAAACUGUAUAUCAGAAAAUAUUUUAUGCAAUAAAACUGAGGAAGCAUUGAAUACACCAAUAGCAAGAAAUGGAUAAAACCACCAAGUGGAAGGAGGAAUUGACAUUUUCAAAGAUAUCUGAAGAAAAUAAAAGACAUUUAGAUCCCUACCAAUUCAUGCCAACAACCAAGUUUGUAACCUUAACAUUAUACCAUUCCAGUAGUUUACCCAAAUCUAGUAUCUCAGUGUCAUCAAGUAGGAAAAUUGUUGCAGAUAAAUAACCUCGGCAAGGUUUAUUGAACUGUCCUCAACUGAUGCACUUGAAGUUCUCUCUUGGAUCCCAAGUCUGGAUUUACGCGGAGAAUCUGAAUCAUCAUGCUGUCCACGAUAAACCACAGUGCCGCUGGUAGAUGAAUCCUCUACUGAAUUGUACGUGCUGCUAGACUGAAAGGCAGUAGAAAUUCUAUGAAGAUAGUAUCCAACACAGCAAAAAAGAAAAUCAAAGCAACUAUUUUCCAUCUCAAUCAGAAGGUAGACGCACCAAGGAGCUUUGGUCACUAAACAAAGAGGAAGGUGAAACUCGUCUUGGAGACCGAACAACAACCGUUCCUGUCCCACCCACUGACAAUUCUUCCUGAAUAAGGCAAAGAUGAAAAUUUUUCAGGGGAACAUGUGGGCAGGGAAAACUUAAACGUGUAAUUGAUGAGUAUAAAGUAGCAAGAACUAUAACAGAAUUUGUUGUCAAAACAUAAGAUCACAAUUUUCUGUACUUUCAAUUAGGUAUAAGCAUAACAACACUGAAUGUUAAUCUUAUAUAGAAGGGAAUAUAUAUGCACAUUUCUAAUUUCACCCCUGGUUAUGGAGCACUGAGAGCAAUAGCUUCAGGGAAAAAAGUGAUUGUGAACUUAAUCCAACCAACUUCAAGUUGCAAAUGUUUGAUAAGUUGACUAGCACGAUUUACAACCAAUAUCAUCUAAAACAAUGUUGAUAGCAAGAGCCUAAAUUAAAACCCAUCAUGCAGACAAAAAGCAUGUUACUUAAGCAAGAAAGGCCUCAUCCUAUGGCUAUUAAUUUAAAGUUUCAAUAAGCUAUCCAGCAAUUAUAGUUCAGGAUAAACUUAAGGAAAGAGUUAGCAAAUAUACACGACAAACAGGCAUAUCACAUGCAUAUAUACACAAGCAACACAUGCACAGGUACAGGCGCGUGUGCAUAGGGAGAGAGAGAGCGAGAGCGAGAGAGAGAGAGAGAGAGAGAGGGAGAGUGAGAGAGAGAGAGAGAGAGAGAGAGAGAGAGACAUCUUCAUGAUAGUAAUCCUGCUUGUCAUCCUGGUAAGCAUCUCUAGCAUCUUUUCCAGAAGCAGAAGACCACUGGUUACCACUAUCUAGAAUUUUUCUUGAAGAAGCUUGACUUAAAAAAGCCUCUGGUUUUCUAUCCCUAACCUGAGGUGGCCUCACAGCACUUCGCACUGUCCCAGUGCCAGGGGUUGCACCAAGGCUGAAGUCCCAUCCAGCAUUUCUCAAAGUUUUUCCUUGGCCGCUGCAAGUACAACUCACCAAUGAGUACAAAAGUGACUAAUGUGGCAGCCCAAAAAAAUUAAAAACAAUGAAAGAGAGAUUCAUCUAACCUGAUUCGUACAGUAUCUUCUACGCCAGCAUCUCUUGUCACCUUCAUGGUACCAGAUGCCUCGCCAAAAGGUUUUAUACCAUUUCUGGGGGUUUCAACAUCUUCCUUGGCUUGGAACUUGUGGCGCUCUCUACAAGAUAAAACAAAAGGACAUCCAUCACAGAAUAAAACAAUUUCUUCUCUCGAGAUAGAAAGAUUAUGUUGAUCUAUCAAGUAACAUCUUCAUUGUAUUCCAUACUUUCUUCAAUUUUUAAACAGUCAUCUUGUCUCCAAACAUAAGCAUAGAGCAAUAAAUUCAGGUCUGUUGAUAGCUAACUAAAAGCCUUAAAAUUCAACUAUAUUACUGUACUUUUGAAUCAAAAACAUAAUUUUAAUUUAAAACUGCUUUUUCAAAGAAAAAGUGCUAAUAUUAAAAAAAAAUGUGAUUUCUAGCAUUGACUGAAUCAAGGCUCCAACUGUCUUGACCCAAGCAGACACGCAUGGCUUCAAUUUCGAGUCAAGCAAAAAAACAGAACCUACAGCUAGAAAAGUGGUAAAAGAAGGGUCUAUAUAGUACUUAAAAUCCAUUUAGGGAGAGAAUAGUGUACCACAGAAACUGUUAAUUUAUUGCAUAGUAGAAGUAGCAAGGAAAAACUGGGAUGCUAAUUAAGCCUCUCUAUCUAAAAAAAGUUGACAAUGUUCUGGCAAAACCCAAUUAAUGAAGAACAAAAUUCAUUUUCAGGGUUGAGAGAUUUAAAGAUAUAAUGCAGGGUUGGCUGGUUGCAGCAGGAUCACCUGAUUCUCUCCAAAAGCCUUGGACUCUUCCUAGCAUUCCUGAUAAAACGAUGCUUCAAAAGUUCCUUUGCACUUGGCCUCUAUAAUUAAACCAUAAAAGAAACAUUAGAUAGAAAAAUAUUCACAAUGCAAAACAUAUCCAAUAAAAUCAAUUCAAAAGUUUGGAUCAGUUUACGUGUUAUCUAAAAAUCUGAAAUUUAAAGUAUAGAUGCUCAGCUCAUUACUGAAUAUUUGAAGCUAUUAAACUUGAAACAUGAUCAAAGUUGUAUCACCACAAAGUCUUUCAUAUUUGCACACAACAGAUUGGAUACGCAUCAUUAUAAUACCUUAUAAUUCCGUGAUAUAGCACUUGGGGCAUAUUAUCAUAAAACUAAUAAAAAAAAUGAUCUGCUUAUGUCCGUGAUUACAAGAAGAGAGAGAGCACGGUAACAAGGAAGUGAAGGAAAUUGAACCUACUUCAGCAGGAUUCUUCUUCAAACACAAUGAUACGAAUUCUUUCAUAAGACGAGAAAAGUGAUCAUCCAGCUGCAAGGUGUACAAUAAACUGUCAACUUCUAGUAUAGAUGAUUAUAGAUGCAGGAAUAAAUUCAUAGAGCACAUAAAACAGCAAAAAAGUAAGGCUAAAGGAUGUUGACAAUGCCAAAUAUUCAUCAAAGAAUAGAAGUAUACUUGAGGAGGAUUUUCCCGAGGAAUAAUGAAAAGAACUCUCAUUGGGUGGAGAUCUGCAAGAGGAGGUUCCCCCUUUGCCAUUUCAAUUACAGUUAUCCCUAGAGACCAAAUAUCUGCCUGCAUCAAACAGAGACUUUAGCAUAUGGCCCUGGCUCAAAAUUUCAAAAGUGGUGUCCUAACUCAGAGUGCACACAAUUACAUGCAUAUUGUGUAUAUAUUAAUAAAUAUGGUGACAAAUUCAUGCAAAAAUAAAGAGGAAAUUAAUCCCAAAAUUAUAAGUAUAAAAGAAAGUGCAAAGCAAAACAUGAGAGAAAGCGAAGAAAUGAUCAAAUCAGAAGAUACAUGAAACAUUUCUCAAAGACGUGCCUUCUCAUUGUAUCCUUCUGAAUUCUGGAUUACUUCUGGAGCCAUCCAAAAUGGAGUUCCUACAAAUGUCUGCCAUAUUUAAUUGCAUUAGCCUGAACAUCUCACAAUUCAUGGAAACCAAUGAUUCUCAUAAAUUGAAAAAGGUAAAGACUAUGACCAAAAUAAAAAAUAAAACUCAACCAAAUAACUAGGAAAUUUUGUUGAAUAACUUCACAAGACACAAAAAAAUUAAAGAGGACACACCCCAGGAGACUGCCAUCUCCAUAGUAACUAAGCAAAAGCACUAUCCCUACAUUAACCCAGAGUAGUUUCUCUGUAACAGACUGCAAAAGCCAGAAAGUAGCAACAAGUAACUGUUGAUCCACUGCCUCAUCCAACAGCCAAUAAUGUUAAAGAGGAGUAUAACCUAUUUAUCUACGCAAUUCUAGCAUGCCCCCUACAUAUAAAUUGAUUCUUUAUAACUGGAUGACAAUGUAAAUUGAACAUAGGACCCUCUGCCUGCUAAGAUAUAACGUCGCCCUCCUCUAAAAGCUUAACUAUACAUGGAAUCAGCAACCUUGAAGAAACAGACACCAAUUGAGCAACUGUGAAGAAACACCAGGUCAGAAAAUUUCUCAUUCGUAAAAUCUAUAAAUAUGAAAAAGAUUGUAUUGCACGUAUUCUCAGAUGUCAUAAAUGCAGCUAGAGAAAAAUUAGUGCUGUCAUUCAAAAAGGAUCUAACAUGGACCAUGCUUGGAGGAUUAAAGAACAAACCAGCCAAUGAAACUGAAUGUGAAAGAAAACAAGAAGGAAACAUAUGAUAACUGCUACAUCAAUGGUUAGGGUAGUUACCAGAUUGCAAGAAUAACCUCAUGGUCUAUCAAACGGAAAACAAAAGAGAAAUGCUUGUCCAUAAAUAAUUUUCAUAACGAGCCUAAACAGAAAAAACUCAGAGACCAUUACGAUCUACAAGCAACAUUUCCUAUAGAGGCUCAAAAGCUGGGUUAAAUAAUCAUAUGAAAGUAAAAACAACACGAGUACCUUUCUCCUUGAAAUUGUUCUUGUUAAUUGUGCAGAAACACCAAAGUCAGCAACCUGAAGUCAAUGUCCGAAUGCUUGAGGAAACAUAGAACAGAUAGCUUGCUCUAUUGAACACAAAGAAUCUCUCCUAAGAGACCACAUCAAAGAGAAACAUUGGAACUAGGAGCAUAAAACACUUACCUUAACGUCACCAUUUUCUGUCAACAAAAUAUUGGCAGCUGCAAAGGAUAUACAUCAGUCAUCAUUCAACAGAAAAAAGAAAGAGAAACUGCCAUCUGAAAACUUAUGUUUGUGAUACAGAGAAAAAUGUAUCCAGGAUAUCCAAGGUUAAAGUUUUUCCAGAAUUUUGCUCAAGCUUCAAUUAGACAUGCCUCCAAAGAUAAAGAGCUCAUAUACUCUUUUUAAGUCUCAAACCAACUCCCAAAUAAAGCUCUUUAUCUUUGAAGAUGAGCCUAAUUGAAGCUUGAGCAAAGUUCUGGAAAUCCUUAGCCUUGGAUUUCCUGGAGCCAUUUGUUGUCUACAUCAAUAUGAAUGAAAAAGGCAGGUAACCUUUUAAAUAGCAACAGUAGCCAACUAAUACUAAGGUAUGUAUUGCACUAGGCACAUAGAAAACCAUGAUAUCAACAGUGUAACAUGAAGACAAAGCAUGAAUAGAAAUGAAAUCCACAUCCUUAAGUUAUUAAUCCACAUUUCUAAUUGACCAAAUGAUCUUUGUUCAAGAAUAAAAUACUAAUUUAGGUUAGUCAUUAAGGUAUUAGGGACAUGAUAAAAAAACCUUUAAUAUCACGAUGAAUUUUCCCUUCGUUGUGGAGGUAUUCAACUGCAUGAAGCAAGUCACGUAAAAUGCAAGCUAUGGACAUCUCAUCCAAAGGCUGAUUUGGUUGAAUCUGCAGAAAAAAUAUCCAAGAACCAUCAACACAGAAUAAACACAUUCACAGACUUCUUUCACAAAUUUAUAAACAUAAUUGUGCUGAGCAAAGUCAACGUCUUGAAGAAAACAAAGCAUAUCUGUUCCUUUUUAAAAGAGGCAAAAGAGUUAGGCCUCACAGGUUCUGAUUCUAGAUGUUCCAGAUAAAGAGGCAAUUUCAAAUCUUUGAAGUGAGAGUUACAAAUCUUUAACAACCACGAUAUCUGCAGACAGCACAUAUACCACAUUUUAGUUUUGGUCUAUUUUCCUUUCAGAAGGUAAAGGGUAAGGACCUCUUAGCAUAUGCUGUAGCAUCAUCACUGAUGUACCCAUGCCAUACCAAAACAGAAACUACAUAUGAGAAAUGACCAGCCUGAAACCCCUAAACAGAAAAGAGAGCCAUCAAUGUGAAAACUGAGAAGUCCUAAACAAUAAAAGAAUUAAGUCAUUCCUCUUUCAGGACCAAGUAUUGCAAUUUAUGUCUCUUGGAUUCAUGCUUUGGUAUUCUGUAACACACUUUACAGCAUAAAAGUAUCACAUAGAAGAGGGCAGACUGUUGAAUUGGAGGGUGAAAAAACAGUCCUUUUUCUGCUGAUAAUUUUCUAAGGUUUGGGAGAUGAAAAGACAUUUCAUGGUAAUAAGAAAACCUCCCAGCAAUCCAGAUUGGUGAUUUUGAAAAUUUUUGUAUUGCUAGCGGAGGACGCAAAAAUGGAUGAAAAACCAAAAAAGACAAUGCAAAUGUUGGAUACUGUCUUCAAGCAAGAGAUCCAAAACAGUUUACUCAUAGCGAUCAUGGCAAUCACCAAUUUACAAGUCAAAUCUAGAGUCAAUCACAUUAAAAGCUUCCAUUAAUUGAUUAUGGCACCAUUGGUUAAAUGACCUGACCUGGACAUCUAGAUAAAAUUGACCUUAAUAUUCCACAUCAGGACUUUGUUAGUCGGGCCUUUUCUAAUCCAGUACUAUAAAUACGACAGUAAAAUAAUGUAACAAAAGGCAUCAAUGCAGAACAGUCUCCAACUACUAGAUUUCAAUCUUGUUCCAUCAUAAAGCAAGAAAGCUUGCUCCUAAUUUGGAGAAAGCAUUUCAUCACAAAGCCAAGACAAUUACUUUCUCAAAAAAUCAAGUUACCUACCAGGUCAGCAACAGAACCACCAGCCAUGUAUUCCAUUAUUAUCCAAAGCUUAGUUUGGUGCAGAUAGGAUCCAUAGUAUUCUGUAAUAUAUGGAGAUCGACAUUGUGACAAAACUGCAAUUUCCUGAAAAAAUAUAUAAUUCAAAUAAAACACCUAUUCCAUUACUUUUUGUACUCAAUCCAUAAUAUCUAAAUGAAAAAGUGGAAGAUACCUUUUGAAUGUCCUCAAUUUCAUCCUCCCUGUAUUGCAGAUAAAUCCAGUCACAUUUAAAUAAGUUCAAUUGUUAAAAUACAUGUACAUGAUGCCAAAAGAAAUUAGAUGAUGCAGUACAUAUCCUAAAGAGUAUUCAUGUGGAAAACAAGAAGAAAGCACAAUGGAGAUGAGAUUGCAAUCAAGUCAGCUUUGAUAAAUGAAAAGAAAACAGGAGUCACUUAAGUUGCAACUAGCAAUAUAAUUGGCCUUAAGAAUUUUCACAUUCUCAUAUCGAAAUAAAAUUAUCAAAAGCAUCUUGGUUGUUGCAAAAAGAGUAAAGCAUUCAUCGUAAAACAAUUAACUAAUCAGAAAAAUGAGAGCGAUGCAAUAUUCCACUUGUUAGGUGAUAAAGUAACUACACCAAAUAACUAAUCCAAAAUGAACUGCAUAAUCUUUCCUUUCUGUUUGAGUCAAUAAGAAGAGGAUAAAAAAAGUAGGAAUUGUCAAACGGUGGAUUGCGACUCCUAAACCAUCCUUUUCUGAUAAUAAAUGUCACGAUCUCAAUCAAGAAAAAGUCCUCAAAGCAUUUCAAAGUCAAAAUGAGAAAAUAAAUAACCAAAGUCCACUACUUACGAUUCUUCGAGAUCAAUAACUUUAAUAGCAACCUCCUUGUUAAGAUCCUUAUCAAACCUGCAAUUCAGGAAACACAUAAGAACAUCUAGCUAACUCAGAGGAAUCUUCCAAUUAAUCAGAAUAGAUAAUUUAAAACAUGCAUGGAAAUCAGAUACAGAGGACUGGUUAUAUACUCGAGUUAGAUGGAUUUGAAUGGCACUUCCACCUCAUGACAUGGACCUUUAUGAAGGCUCCACCAUAUAAAGAAGAUGGGCCUAUCACACGCAUAGGAUAGAUACACAUUCACUAUCCUGCUAGUCCUCCUUUCCUUUCCAAAAGAUUCGAAAAACAUCACUUGCUUAUAUAUAUAUUUUUAAUGGUCCUGUAAGCUUAUAACUCCCAAAACAAAGAUGCUACUAUUUCUGGUGUGGGAGACACAACUUUAAAGUCACCUAACCUUAAGGAAAUAAGCUGAACUCCAAAAUAAUCAAAUAGUAAUCUCCUUACAACUACAUACAAUACCCCUAUCUGACACUAUUAGAAAACAUCCAUCUCCUGCCAUGUUUGAUACCAGUGGGUAUUUCUAUCCCUCCGAUCUCUGCUGAAGGUGAAAUAUUGAUUGUUGAACUGGCCAAAAAAGAACCAAAUUUCCAAAUGCCCGAUAAAGCAAUUGCAUUAAAAAACAUAAUUUGCAACUUUCUUAAAUCAGCCUAGCUCUACAUCUCUCAACAACAUCAAGAAGCAAAUUGCUGCCAAGGUCCCUCAUGAUUGUUUAUUUUCCCCCCUAGAACUUUGACAGCACCAUCCAGAGAUGCAAUUGAGCCCAUAGUGUAAUCAAUAACAUAUAACUUCAUAAACCAGUAGCAACUUUCUGUGAAAUCCAAACGGAAAUUGCUGAAAAUUUUCUAAAAUCUCAAUCAGGCCCAAAAGGAAGUUGAAAUUUGUAAUGAGAGGUUCCCAUGGCCCAAAGCUAUUAGACCUUCCCGUACUCUG